rnacentral:lncRNA from 1 species
UUUUUUCACAAUGUCGGACUCUAAUUGUCUCUAAGUUUUGGAGGCCCUGCAACAGCUCAACUGGAAACAACUUCUUCACCCUCGAACAAUAACUCAUAUGGAAUUUUUUAAGAGAAGAGAAGAUGGCAGGUGGUGUUGGAGCAUGAGAGGUAGAUUCAAUUUCAACCACUACUCCUAUUCCUACUCUCACAACUUCACGCAAGUUUCUCAACAAAAAUAGGCGUAACUCCUCAAUGUUGUCAAGUGCGUCACAAGACGAUAAUGACAAGUCAACCACACACUCUAUCCCUCUACAGUUCGUAAUUUGACAUUCCUUCCACUCAGUCACCUUACGAAACAAAGGAAUGUUGUUUAAACAUUUGAAAUCAUCGUACUUUUGAAUAGUUAAAGUUUGAAGGUCAUGUGGGACCACCCUAUCAUCACACCUCUCUAUCUCCGAACCUGUGAAUGUAAUCUGUUUCUUAAUUUUUUUGAAAUUUGGGCAACCCCAUAAAUCAAAACGCCAAUCCACCGAUGGUCCCCCCACUUGAAAAAAGAAAGAUGUAGGGCAUUUACCUUGUGUACACUCUGCGUAUUUAUUAAACUCUUGCACGUUGCGAAAUGAACAUUGAACCCACUCAAGCUUCCUCAAUUGGCCUACUUCUUCUCCCUUUAAAAACGUCUUCUCUAUUAUUAAGCAUUGGAGAUGACAGAUCCUCGGUAAUAUUCCUACCGGUAGCUCUUUUAAAGCCGUUGACCCCAUAAGAAGAUCUCUCAAGUUUUCUAACAUCUCUAUGCCAUGAGGAACCUCUUCAAUUCCUGUGCCCAAAAGGUUCAACUUUCUUAGUGCUGUGAGCUCUACUAAGGAAGGCACCUUUUUUAACUCCUCACAACCAGAAAGUAUCAAUGCAUUGAGAGUUUUCAAGUUAGAGAUCGAAUUGGGCAGAUAUUCUAAGGAACGAUUAUCUGAAAGAUUUAGAACUUUUAACCCAGACAUGUGCUUAAAAAAAGAUUCUGAAAUCCUUUCUAAGCCACAAUGUUCCAAAAUCAAAGUUGAUAAAUGAGGCCAUCUAGGUGAUAUGUGAGGAGGAAUUUCUAAUUUAAAAGUUUCCAUCAAGGAAACUUUCUCAACACUCACUGUCCAUUCUUGCUCACUUGGGAAUUCUUUCAAUGGCAUACCUGCUUUUCCCAUGAACUGAUGACCUGCAAUAUACAACGCCAUGUCCCUCAAAACAUCAUGCAUCUUAACUCCAUCAUUAUCAAUAAGAAAUGUAGCCCUCUCUAAUAGGCAAUUACUUUCAAGCUUAUUUAAAAUGCUAUAACCUCUAUGAUGCAUUGCUUCUUUGGUCUGUAAGCCAUCAAGGAGUCCCUCAUCUAUCCAAUUUUCAAUUAAUUCCACUUUUCUAAUUAUAUAAUCUUCAGGAUAUAGGGAGCAAUAUAAGAAACAAUUUUGGAUUUUUGGAUCUCUCAAAUGGUCAUAACUGAACUUCAAAGGCUCAUAUACUUCGAUAUCCAAUUCUUUCACACUUUCCACACGCUCUUCUAAUUCAAUUAGUGCAUUCUUCCACUCACAAAAAUCAUCUACCUCUUUCAUGCUACCGGCUAUUGUCACAAUACUAAGUGGUAAACCGCCACAUUUCUCAACAAUUUUGUCGACAAUGUCCUUUAAAUUUUGAUCUUGUACAACUCUACGCCCCACGUGAUCUAAGAAUAAGUUCAUGGACUCAUUCUUUGGAAGCAGUUGCACUUUGACCACCUCACAACCCAUAGACUUACAGACCUCAAUCGAUCUGCUAGUGAGUACAACUUUCCUUCCCAUACCUAAUGUUGGUUCAAGGAUUCCCAAAUCUAAUAGAGAAAAUCGUUUCCAAACAUCAUCUAAGAUCAACACAUAUCUCUUUUCCUCCAAAAUAUCCUUUAAUUUUGCAGCUCGUUGCAAUACAUCCGUUGGAAGAGCUUGUUUCAAAGAAUUUGCAAUAUCUUCUUGCAAUUUGAAAAUAUUCAAUUCUUUUGAUACGGUGACCCAUAUCACUUGAUCAAACAGAUUAUCCUUCAACAAUUGAUUAUUGAUAUGCUUCAUAAUGGUAGUUUUCCCUAUGCCACCCAUUCCACAUACUCCAAUCAUUCUAACCUUAUCACCCAUCAAAUACUUCCAAAUUUGUUCUUUUACAUCGAUUUCACCUUCUAGAUUUGGUGUUAGUAAUGUCACCCCAGUGGCUGGAGGCCCAUCAACUGCCACACCAUCAGGGAAACUACCUUGUUGGUAAAUUUUGUUUACCUUUUCAAUAUUUUCGCAAACAAAACUUCCUAGAUGACCACGUGACAAGAAUGAAACAGAACGGAACUCCUCUUCGAUGGUUUUCACUUCAUUGCCUACAUUUUCUACAUCUUUGAGCCAGUUCGCCACUUCUUUCUUCAUCUUUUUCCCACAACGUUCCUCUGCUUCCAUUUUUAAUUCAAGGUCUCGCUUUCGAGAAUUUAGACUAUUUACAUUUCCUCGAAGCUCAUUCAUAUAAUCUUCAAGUUUCCGAUGAUGAUUUAUGUAUGGACCCCCAAAGCUCCUUAUCACUUCAACAAAUGACAAUAUCCAAUCCAUAUUAUAAGCUCACUGCAAUUUAAAAACCCAACGUAUGUUAAGAUUCUUGCUUCACUUGUUAUGUUUGAGUAUAACAAAGAUAAAAUUGUUAAUGAAGCUUUGUUUCAAUGGUAAGGAAGAUGUGUAAGUUCGAUAUUACUUUUAUGCUAGUUAUUUAUUUAUUUAUUUUAUUGAUAAUUUGUUCAUUAUUUUUUACACUGAACGUAAUCAUUUGUUUUAUUAUGACUGUAAUUUGUACUUGUUCAUGUAAUAUAAAAAAAUAUAUAUAUAAAAAAGCAUUUUUGUUUUUAACUAAAAUUCUGAAUUUCUGGUGUUUGAUUAAUUAGUAAUGAGUUGUUUAAUUACUAUAUUUCUUAAAUUCUGUUUUAGAAUAUCGGGUGAAGCAUCUGUAAUACUUUUAUAAACCAUUACCAAAUGUUUUAUUCCUUCUACCUUAUUUUUUAUAUUUUCCUUCAAAAUUUCCUUAAUAUUCCACUUUCAAGCAAAACUAAGUAAAUAUAAACCAUAAAUAAUUAAUAAAUGAUUUAUUUUUCUUUCUCCCCUGUUGAUAACUAUCAAAAAUUCUUGGAUAUUAAUUACAUCAUCAAUAAAAGGAGGGAUAAAGAAGAAACACUAAUUUUCAAUAAAGAUAAACAUCAAAGGCACUAAAGAAUAUUAAUUAAUAUUUUUUUGAACAGUUCUAAAAAAUUUCAAUUAUGGAUUAAUAUAAUCUAAAUAUAAGUAAGGAAGUUUGUGAAAACAACAAUAUAUCCCACAAAGACAUUAAGAAAUAAUUGCAGGAAUAAAUUGUGAGAGUAAUGACCUUCAGGAUAUAUACCUGGCUUGUUCUUCAAAUUAUUCGGAAAGAUGAAACCCAAAGGUCAGUUAAAUGAUCCACAAACCUCCUUGUCUCUUUGUUAAGCACAACCUUCUUAGGCAGAAGAAAGAAGCUGGCAUAAAAUUAACAAGGAAAAUUAGUAGUGUUAAUAAAAGUGAAAAUCUAAUGUGGUAUAGUCUUCAGAGUUAUUUGCCUAAAUAAGAAAAUAGAGGACACAAAACAAAGAACCAAAAUAAUUAAGUGGAAGGAAAGAUGAUGAAUUUAAGAUUCCAGAAAACAUGAACCCAAAUCUAUAUUAAACAGUUUAAUUACCUGGUCAAGUGAGGUAGAUGAGGUGGUACUUGUAUCCUUAGAGGGUCUUAAGUCUGUGAAAGCAGGAAACUAAGAUCUCUGUUAAAUUUGUGAAGAAAACAGCAACAAGCAGAUCUCCUCCCAAACUAUUAUCUAUGAGAAGAAAAUGAAUAAUGAAGCACAUGAAUUAUUGAAAAGUGGACAAGGUAAAUAUUUAUGUGGAAACUAAAAUAAAUGCCCAACUUGUGUUGGAAGGUAUGGUAAGAUGAAUUUAUGUCAUAAGUUAAGAUUCUGAUUAAUUACUGCUACCAAAGAUAAACAUAAAUCACACAAAUAUAAACAGUUUACCUGGUUCACGGAGACAGUGAACUGAUUCUUCUGUCGUUAGAAGGUCUUUGUUAAAUUUGAGAAGCAAGCACACUCAGGAAAUAUAGCAGCAAUAAGCAGAUGAUCUCCGUGAGAAGAGAAUCGAUGAAUUGUGAAGCUAAAAGAAUUAAGAGCUGGCAAGUCAAUGCAAAGUCGUCGCACAAAUUGUACAUUCACUUUCCUUGAAGUUGUUUCACAGUAAUGCAAAUGUAAAUUCACUUUCCUUGAAGUUGUUUCACGGUAAUGCAAAUGUGAAUAGAAGAAAAACUGACAAAGUAGGACUGAAUUAUGGGGCCACUUGUCCUACUUUCCACUCCUUCAUUAUUGUCCUUCUUGUCUUCUGUUUGGCAAUAAUGCAAGUAUGAAUUUAACAGAUGCCCUGGAUUAAGAAACUUAUAACUUUAAUAGAAGUUUAUAAUUUAAGAAGUGAAUUAGUCUAACCAAAAAACUGAACAAUUAUUUUUUUGUUGCUGAUAACAAAGGUUUGAUUAUACACAGAAUGUAAUAAGUUAUGAUCUCCUAAAUUUAGUCCAUCUUAUAAGUGCUUGAAUUCAUAUAUACUAAUGUCCUCAGUCUUGAAUUCUUUUCUUAUUGCUGAUAACAAUGGUUUACUUAUGUUCAGAAUGAAAUAGGUUAUGAUCUCUUAAAUGGAGUCCAUUUUAUAAGGAGACAGGAAAGAAAGAGCCCUGUGUUUGAUGGCAGUGAGGCAACCAGAUUGAUUUUCCACUAAUUAGCCACAUCAGAUUACUAUGUAUAGCCACUAAGUCAAGUGAAGCAACGAUCUCCUAUCAAGAAAAUAACAAACAGCACAUCUCCUGGCAAAUUAACUCAUCUAUAAUGACAAGAGAAUGAAUUAAUAAUUUAAAAGUGGGCAAGUCAAUGCAAGUCAUGAUGUUGGUUUCGGGGUCACUUCCCUUAAAGCUGCUUUAAAAUAAAGCAAAUAGGAAUCGAAUAAAAGAUGAUAACGUGAGAGUGAAUACUGCUUCAUAUUUCUUAAAGACACAAUCAUGUAAGCUAUUUCGUUCAGUGCCUGGAUCAUAUGUAUGCACAUGUGCAUGCAUAGGACCAACUUUAAAACGAGCCCUGUCAAUCAUAGAUUAUAUCAUUCGUGAUAUAAUCUGAUGAAUAACAGGUGAUAUAAUCUGAUGAAUAACAGGUCAUUGCCAAUAUCACAAGAGUUAUUGAUAAAAACUAAAACUUGGGAAAUGUUGACAAGUAUUUGUAUAUUUAUACUAUACACAGAAAAGACUCAAGAAGGUCUUUGUUAAAUUUGAGAAACAAGCACAGUCAAGAAAAAUAGCGGCAAUAGCAACAAGCAGAUGAUUUCAGUGAGAAGAGAAUCCAAUAAUUAUGAAGCAAUAAGAAUUACAAGUCAGCAACUCAAUGCAAAGUCGUCGCAGAAGCUGUAAAGUAACUUCCCUUGAAGCUGUUUCACAAUACUGCAAAUGUGAAUUGAAGAAAAACUGACAAAGUAGGACUGAAUUAUGGGGCCUACUCUCCUCCAUCAUUGUCCUUCUUGACUUCUGUCGCGAUAAAGAAAAUAUGAAUUGAACAAAAACUGACAGACUAGUAUUAUUGUCCUCGCAACUUUCUUUCACAAGGGCACCCAUUUUUAUGUCCUAAGGCAAAGACCAAAAUUAUCUGGGAACAAUCAAAGAAAGUUGUAUGUCCUUUGCUACUUGCUAGCUAUCUUGACUAAUAUUGUAUGUAACACUUAUUAUUUUCUAUAAAUUUUUACAUAAUAACAAAUUUGAUGUAAAGUUCAUUAGUUAAUGGUACGUUAAUUCACUUGAUCGAUAACUAAUUAAAAUGUGAAAAGUGUAAUUUUAUUAAUUCCGUAGAAUUAUUUUAGUGAAGUUUCUAAGUAUAUCAUCUAAUCCGGUAUCUAGCAUCAUUAUUUCUACUUUUUUUUUUCCUUUUGUAUAAGUAUAUCGAUAACCAACAAUUAUUUUCAGGGUUGUUUAACAUACUAUGGCCACUGUCAUGCAUUGCUAUGUCUAGUCUAUAAUUCAUGGAGGAAUCCCUCCUCGGUUCAUUUCUCUAUUUUACUCUAUUCUUUCAAUUUUGCAGUCUUCAUGAUAUAAGAAGCAAUAGAAAAAAUAAUUUUGGAAUUUUGAGUCUUCCAAAUGAUCAAAAUUACACACACUACAACAAAUUUGACUUAAAACAGCACAUUUUAUAAAUGUGUUACUAAAAAUAUUUUUAAUAACACUUUUUUUAUGUUUUUUAGAACAGCUUUUUAGAUCUAAUUUUACUAUAUACAUUUUUAGAUGCAUUAUCAAUAAAAUGUAACAAUAGAAAUUAUAUACACUAACAAAUGUUGCAUUUUACUGUACAAAAAAUAUAUCGUCCAAACAAGUGUGGUUAAAACUUAAUUUUUUUGCUAUUACAUCAAACACUCAAAUAUUUCAACAUCUUAUCUUCUCACACUUUUGACCCGUUAAUUCAUUUAAUGCAUCCUUCCACUCACAAAUAUAUGUCAUUUACUCCAUGCUACCUAAUAUUGUCAGAAUGGCGUGUCUUUGCCAAAUACUUCUAAUAGGCCCUAACUGAUUAGGCAAAACAUAUCUUCAAAUUGGAAUAAUUAAGGGAUUGGACUUAUCUACAAGAACCAACAUCUGAAGUUGCAAGGAAUAUAAUCUUACUCCAAAAUGGAAUUUGUAAUUAUAGAGUCUUACAAAUGCUAAUUACAUAGCACAAAUUAAUGAUCAGAUAAUGCAGUCUUCCUAGAUGGAUGAUUUGAAUAUGAGAAUUAUGAGCUGAGUACAGUGGAGAUUUUUCCUCACAUUUUUCUAUAAUAUUAUUUAUGAGCAGCCUUAGCUUCAUAUAUUAUCAAUUAGUGCAUGGGAAGCUUUGAAGAACAUUAUGAGACAAUUAGUAAGUAUUCAUAACUAUAUAGAAAAGAAAGGAUAGCUUCUAUAUGAAGCAUUUUGCUUGCAAAAUACAUGCAGGGUGCCACAUGAUUGGAUAUUUCAGUUGUAUGGAUAUUUGAAGUCCUAGGAUAGCAAUUGUUUGGGAAGAAAGAAUUUCUGAGAAACUUUCCUCAAUGUUGACAGGGACUUUUCAUAUCAUCUGUUAUGACAAUUUGACUUCCACUAACCCUCACCACUUUCCCCAUUUUUUUGGGUAAUAAAAAGAAGUUGAUUUUUUCCAACUUAAAUUGAGGUAUUUGACAGGCUACUGAUGAUCUAAAAGACUUCACUAUCCAAUUGCAUGGGCCUCAGGGCACAAUUUGAACAUCAAAUACAAAAUUCAACCUGGUUGAGCUCCCAACUGUGUAAAGAAAAAAUCAAUUAAAUAUUGUUCAAUUCUUGCUUGUAACGUCUGCAGAUUGUAUAUGAGACUGAUGGAGUAAUAAAUAUGUCUAACCCAGAGAAAUCAUGGAUUAAUCAACUCGUUCUUUUAAAAGGGAAGGCAUCACAUUAGUUCAUCUACUAACUAAACCUUUACAAGCGGAAUAUUGGAUUAAAGUUAAAACAAGGGAUCUCUCUUUGAUAUAAACUAGUCCUAAAGAAUUUAUAGGAUAAUUGAGAGAUUGAAUACUGAAAUUGAAGAAGUCCAAACUUUUGUUUGGCAUAUAUUCAUAAACCAGCAUCUUUUCCUCUCCUUCAAUGCAACAUCCCAGGAGCUUUACAAGAUUUCGAUGUUGAAGCUUGGCAAUUAGUGCUACUUCAUUUUUGAACUCAGUUAAACCUUGUCCAGAGCUUCUUGAAAGCCUCUUCACAGCGAUCUCUUGUCCAUCUACCAGGUUACCCUGAAAAAAAUGUACUUUAAAGAGUUGUAACUUUGUUCUAAACAUACUUCAUACUUUGUCUUCUGAUCAAUUUCACCAGAAUGUUGCAAAUUUACCCUGUAUGCAUGCCCAAAACCACCUUGUCCUAGUUUGUUGUCAAUGGAGAAAUCAUUGCUUGCUUCGGAUACUAAUGAUAAGUCGAAUAACUGGACUUCUGAGUCUUCGCUUUGCCCUUCAGUGCUCCUGUCCUUUAUCACAUGGUUUUCUCUAGCCCCUGAAACAUUUUAGUACAUACUAACAUUAGCCAUAGAAGGCUAUAUCAUGUUGGUCAAUUGUAUUUCUGAACAGACUAGGGAAGUUGGUAAUUAGUAUUCUAAAACAUAGUGAAAACAUGAUUUGUGAAAGCAAAUGGAUCAGAUAGUGUUACCUUAUAAACAGCUCCAAAACCACCUUCCCCUGGCUUGUUGUCCAUAGAAAAGCUAUGAGUAGCAAGCGCAAAUAUUGCAAGCUCCAAGUCUUCAUCCAGGCCUUGAUUUUCUGAAUCAUUUUCCUUAUUGUUUUCUGUUUCUCUGAAAUAGUAGUCAAAAUAGGCUUUUUAUUCACCAUAAAAUAUGCAUUCUAAUUGAGCUAGAUAACUGAACAUAAAACUCAUUUUUCACACCAAUAAGCAUUGAAAACUACUUAUUUUUUGAGAAAAAAAAAACAUUAUUCCAAUGAACUGGCAAACAAUCUAAUUUACUUCUUUUGAAGAAACUGCAUGUGGAUAAGUGGAUUAGGUAGCAUCACUAUUAACAAGGUAAUUUUUUUUGUUUAUUUAGCUAAGGAAUUGAAUGACAUAUUUGUGAAGGAUAUGUCAAAAUUACCUUUCAACUUUCUGCGGACUCUGUAAAUGUAAUAACUGAUUAUAAACAGCCCCAAAAGUGCAACACAGCGGUUUUGCAAUAGAUGCAACAAGCUUCAACCUUGGCUUAUCGCAUCCAAGCUUGGCUUUCUGCAUUCCAUGUGUAGCCUUGUAUCAUCAGUUUGGUUAGGAGCAAGUCCUGUGAUCAAUGAUUUCUAUUUGAGACAUUUUGGAUGGUUGACAUAUAAAAUACAAACACCAGGUGGGUUGAUCAUGCAUUGUUUUUAUGAGAUGAUGUGAUUGACUGACUCUUGAUCAAUGAACUGUACACAAAGUGCAGCAGAAAACAAUUUAUAAACAUUGAGAUUCCAGAUAAUUACUUGUAUUGAAUAAUUUCCAAUUCAUCAACCAUUUCACACCAGUAGACAUUUUCAUUAAAAGCACAAGGCACAAGCAUCAGCUGGGAAUGCAAUUACUUGAUUAUUAAAACAUAACUCAAAGCAUAGUCUUACGAACAGUAUAUAAACAGAGUUUGUAGCAUGGGAGAUGUGAGGAUACAACUCCCUAACCAACCUUUAACAUCGAUAUGGUUAUUUCAUUCUACAUGCCCACAGCAAAUGGAAAAGGAAACAAUAAUGUCUAAUCAAUCUUACUUGUUCAACAAGGAUUUGAAGGAUAACAGCUAAAUCAAUAAAUUGGCGUUGAAUUAAGUUAUAAGAUUUUGAUCACAAACAGAGGAAGUCCUCUCAUAAAUGAAUCAAACAAUAUUUAUGGCAAGUGAGGCAUGCUUGGUGCUGUUAAAGAUUUGCUUAUGAUUGAAUAAUCCUAUUAACUACUAACUUGUUCAUAAUGUUUUUAAACUAGCAUUUUUUAAAUAAUGCUAGUUUAAAAUAUGACCAUAUAUAUAUAUAUAAGAAAAAGAAUACUAUGGACCCUAAAUAUUACUUUAAUCAUUUUAUUAUAUCUUUUAACAUUUUAAUUCAUAAUAAUUUAAAGAUUUUAUUUACGUGUUAGAGUUCUCUUAUUAUUUUAUUUAUGUAUAUAGAUUUUUUUUCUUUUUAAAUUUGAAAAAAAUUUCAAACCUGGCUUGUAAUAUGUCAGUGAAAAAGAAAAUAAAGGGAUGUAGGCAAAGAGCUUAAUUAACUCUUUUGAAGAAACUGCAUGUGGAUUUGCUAGCAUCAAUAUUAACAAAGUAAUUAUUUUUUUGUUUAUUUAGCAAAGAAGCAAAAUAAGCAUAUUUGUUAAGGGUAUAUCAAAGUUACCGUUCAACUUUGCAUUGCCUCUGUAAAGGUAAUGACCGACUGUAUACAACCCCGAAAGCACAGCAUAGUGGUGUUGCAAUUACUGCAGGAAGUUUUAUCCUAGGCUUAUCUUUCAAUUCUGUAUGGCGAAAUUUGAUAAGGAAAAGCAUACAUGAACAAAAAUGAAAAAAGCAGCGAAAACAAGAGAAAAUGCAGACUCAUACCUGAUUCUGAAGCAGACACUCUUAACAUAUAGAUCCUGCCCUUUUGAUUCAAAUUGUCUGCAAUCAAUCAGAUUAUCAAACCAAAGGGCCCAACCACUACCUCUUCCUCUAUUAUCUGAACUAGUGUAUGCCAUAUAGGAAUAGUUCUGUAGAUACUUAGCCCUGCAUCCCUUGAGAUUCAUAGUUUUAGUCACCCAAGAAUGUGUAGCAUCUGGCAUUUUUAAAUCCUUUAAAUCUAAUAAAUCCAUCUCUGCUUUGGCAGUUGAAUGGCUUGUUGUGCUUACACCCUUGGCACCAGUCUGAUGAGUUCUGUCUUUUAGGGAAUUCAGGCUUAAACAUCAGCUUUCAGGGAAUUAAGGCUUGAAUCCUUUAAAAAGUGGAAGCUGAGCACCAUCACAAUUCCCUUUUGAACCACAAAGUCCAUAUCUAUCAAAGUAGUCUCUUGAAGCAAAUGACAGAAGCAUCCAAGCUUGCUUUCUGCAUUUCAUGUGUAGUCCUGUGAUCAAUGAUUUCUAUUUGAGACACUUUGGAUGGUUGACAUAUCAAAUAGAAAUGCCAGGUGGGUAGAUCAUGCGUUGUUUUUAUAAGAUGAUGUGAUUGACUGACUUUUGAUGAAUGAAGCAUACACAAAGUGCAGCAGAAAACAAAUUAUAAACAUUGAGCUUCCAGAUAAUUUGUAUUUCUCAAUAAUAUGAAGCUUAUUCCUCUAAUCAUUCUCUUCAUUGGACGAACAUAACUUCAAUGACUUACUUGUAUUAAAUGAUUUCCAAUUCAUAAACCAUUUGAGACUUUUUUUUCUCACAUCUGAUAGGUUGCAGGAUAGUCCCAAGAAUUGAUCACCAAGUUCAACAGGGUGCCUUCCUUCCUCCCAUAAUCUCCGAGCCUGCAGCAAAUUGAAAACCUUUUAGUCAUUUUAUUAUAUCUUUCAACAUUUUAAUUCAUAAUAAUCGAAGUAUUUUAUUCAAGCGUUAGAGUUUUAUUUAUAGUAGUAAUUAAUUAUUAUUAUUAUUUUUGUAGAUAGAGUGUGUUUUUUUUUCUUUCAAAAUUUGAAAAAAAUUAAAACCAAGUUUGAAAAAUGUGAGUGAAAAUGAAAAUAAAGGAAAGAGAUGGGCAGGUGUAAUAGGAGGGGAUGUAGGAGGUGUUAGAUGGCAAUUGGUGGAGAAAUGCAGAUUGAAGGGUGUUGAGUUUUAGAUUUUGGUAUUAUUCAUAAAACUAAAGACUUGGUUUUGUUUUGAUAUUAAAAAAAAGUAAUUAUUUAGCAAAUGAGAAAUUAAGAGAUAAAAACUCACAAUUAAUGUUUGUGGUUCUUAACAAGAAGCAAGAGCCUUAUAGCCACAUUUAAUCAAACACCUCUUCUCCAUCUCACUCUACCAAUCAAAAUAUCGAAGAAAGGGAGAAAGGACAUUCUUAGUGUGCUAUCCAACAACCCACAUCUGAUGUGAAUGCGAUUGUUAAGACCUAUAUAACAAUUCAAGUUCACCAUUACUAGCAACUUGAGCUUAAACUUUUGAGGGCUACGUGGUUUAGGCCCAAAAAGUUACUAGGCCAAUGGUUGGACUUGGGUCGUUACAAAUGGUAUCAGAACUUGCACCAGUCCGAUGUGAACUUUCACAUUGCUCUGGUGAGAUCUUGGUCCCGUGGAUGUGAUGUGUGGCCUUGAUGAGGACAUCAAGGAUUUGAGUGGGUGGGAUUGUGAUAUCCAACAUCCUACAUCUGAUGUGAAUGUGAUUGUUAAGACCUAUAUAACAAUCCAAGUCCACCAUGGACUUGGGUCGUUACACUUAGCAUCAAGUUGAUCCCAUUCCACUGAUUCCCACCAUUCUCUCGGGCCUAUUCUAAUAUAUUCUAGAGAAGGAGGAGAUGGUUUCCCAUUUUCAACAAGGGGAAGAGACAAAGGGAUCCUCUUUACUUCUGGACAUCUCUCUAUUUGAAGAUAUUGGAGAGAAUCUGCAGGAAUCAUAAGUCCACCACUGUAAAUGCUUUUCAGUUUUGGUAAAUUUCCCAAGAUUAAUGAUUUUAAUUUGGGAAGAAUAAAUGUUGUUCCUUCUUCUUUGUGAUUUUCUUCUAACGCUAUUAUUUCCUCCAUUUCUUCACAACAUUCAACGAAAAUUUUCUCUAAGUUUGGGAGGCCUUGCAACUGCUCAACUGGAAACAACUUCUUCAUCUUCGAACAAAAGCUCAUCAUCAAUAAUUUAAGAGAAGAGAAGAAGGUAGGUGGUGUUGGAGCAUGAGAGGUAGAUUCAAUUUCAACCGCUACUCCUACUCGUACUCUCACAACUUCACACAAGUUUAGCAAGUCAAGUAGUUGUAGCACCUCAAUGUUGUGAAGUGCGUUGCAAGACGGUAAUGACAAGUCAACCACACACUCCAUCCCUUCACACUCCGAAAUUUGACAUUUCUUCAAGUCAGGUGCCUUACGAAACAAAGGAAUGUGGCUUAAACAUUUGAAAUCAUUACACCUCGCAAAACAAAAAGUAUGAAGGUCAUUUGGGAGCAUUAUUUCAUCACACCUCUCUAUCUCCAAAUUUGAGACAUCAACCAUUUUCUCAAUUUCUUUGAAAUAUGGGGAAUGCAUAAUAUGAAUAUUACUAGGUGGUCCCACUUGAAAAAUGAAAGACAUAGGCCAUUUACCUUGUGUAGACUCUGCAUAUUUCUUAAACUCUUGCAUGUCACAAAUGAACAUAAAACACACUCAAGCUUCCUCAAUUUGCCUACUUCUUCCCCCCUUAAAUUUAACUGUACUAGUAAGCAUUGCAGAUGAGAAAUCUUCAGCAAUAUUCCCAUUGGUAGCUCCUUUAGAUCGCUUGACCGUAGACCAAAAUAUCUAAGGUUUUGUAACAUUUCUAUACCCUGAGGUAACUCUUCAAUUUUUGUAUUCCAAAGGUCCAAGUUUCUCAGUGCUUUGAGCUUUGCUAAUGAAGGCACAUAUUCUAACCUGAGACAAUAAGCAAGCAUCAAUGCAUUGAGAUUUUUCAAGUUAGAGAUGGAAUUAGGUAAAUCCACAAUCUCAUGAUUACGAGAAAGAUCUAGAACUUUUAGCCCAGGCAUGUGCUUAAAGAAAGAUUCUGGAAUUCUUUUUAAGCCACAUUGUUGCAAUAUCAAAGUUGACAAAUGAGGACAUUCGGGUGAUAUGUGAGGAGGGAUUUCUAUUAAUUUUGAAUUUUGCAUCAAAGAAACCUUUUCAACACUCACUGUCCAUUCUUGCUCACUUGGUAGUUCCUCCAACUGCACAUUGGCUUUUACUAUGAACUGAUGACCUUUAAUAUACAAUGCCAGGUCUCUCAAAACAUUAUGCAUCUUAACUCCUUUGUCAUUCCAAGUUGUAGCCCUUUCUAGCAAGCAAUUAUUUUGAAGCUUAUUUAAAAUGCUAUGGCCUCUAUCAUGCACUUCUUGUCUAGUCCUUAAGCCAUCAAGGAGUCCUUCAUCUAUCCAAUUUUCAAUUAAGUCAACUUCUUCAAUCACAAAAUCUUCAGGAUAUAAGGAGCAAUAUGAGAAACAAUUUUGAAUUUUUGGAUCUUUCAAAUAGUCAUAACUGAACUUCAAACGCUCAAAUAUUUCAACAUCUGAUCCUUUCACACUUUUCACACGCUCUUCUAAUUCAGUUAAUGCAUUUCUCCACUCACAAAUAUCAUUUACCCCCUUCAUGCUUCCAGCUAUUGUGACAAUGUUAAGUGGUAAACUGCCACAUUACUCAACAAUUUUGUUGACAAUGUCUUUUAAAUUUUGAUCUUGUACAACACUAUGCCCCACAUGUUUUAAGAAUAAGUUCGUGGACUCUGUCUUUGAAAGCGGUUGCACUUUGAUCACCUUACAAUCCAUAGAUUGAUAGACCUUAAUCGAUCUGCUAGUGAGUACAACUUUCCUCCCCAUAUCUAUUAUUGGUUCAGGGAUACCCACAUCCAAUAGAGAAAACCGUUUCCAAACAUCGUCUAAGAUCAAAACAUAUCUCUUUCCCUCCAAAAUAUCUUUUAAUGCUGAUGCUCGUUGCAAUUCAUCAUCUUUUAAAAGAGAUUGUUUCAAAGAAUCUGCAAUAUCUUUUUGCAAUCUAAAAAUAUUCAAUUCUUUUGAUACAGUGACCUAUAUCACUUUAUCAAAGUUCUCACUUUCCUUUAACAAUCGAUUGUUGAUAUGCUUCAUGAUGGUAGUUUUCCCUAUACCACCCAUUCCACAUACUCCAAUCAUUCCAACCUUAUUACCCAUCAAAUACUCCCAAAUUUGUUCUUUUACAUCGAUUUCACCUUCUAGAUUUAGUGUUGGUAACAUCACCCCGGUGGUUGGAGGCCCAUCAACUGCCACACCGUCGGGGAAACUACCUUUUUGGUGAAUUUCCUCUACCUUUUCAAUCAUUCGGCAAACAAAUUUUCCAAGACGACCACGUAAGAAGCAUGAAAUAGCAUGGAACUUGGAUUCAAUCUUUUCCAUUUCAGUGUUUACCUUUUCUACAGCUUCAAACAAGUACUCCACUUCUUCCCUCACCACUUUUCUGUGACGAAGCUCCUCUUCCUUUCUUGAUAUGAGGUCUCUUUUUUGGAUAUUUAAAACAUUCACUUUUUCUCGAAGAUCAUUCAUAUGUUCUUCAAGUUUUCGUUGAUGGUGUAUAUAUGUACAGGUUGGACCACCAAAGCACUUUAUCACUUCAAAAAUUGGCCCUAUAAGCUCCAUAUAAGCUAUUCCCUAGAGAUUAAAAACCAAGAUAUAUUAGAUCUCCAUAUGACAUAAGCUACUCCGUCCCUCCCUAAACUACAAUUCUAUAUUUUUCAUAUAAUAUAGAAUAUGUUAGAAAAAAAUGUUACUAAUUAAAAUUUUUUUACCAAUUCUUAAGAAAAAACAUAAUAUUUUUGAAAACAUUAUUAAAAACAAGAAGUUUUUGUUUCAUCAUCUUUGAGUAUAAUAUUUACAUUUCCAACAAUAUUUAUAUCUAGAUGAAUGUAUUCAUUUUUCCCCUUAAAAAACCAUCGCAAAUUCUUGAAUAUAUUAUAUCUAUAUGGUUCCUAGUUUUGAUCAUUACAACAUUAAUAAAAGGAUGAUGAGAAUGGAGAAAUCAAUUUACUAUAAAUAUAUAAAUGACAAAAUUUUUUAUAAAAAAAGGAAUCCAUUUAAAGUUGAUAACUUGCGUUUCUAACAUGUAUACAUAUUAAAUAAAUGUACCUGUGAAAGAAUCACAGGUACUAGACGAAAAGUAUCCAGUUCUUUAAUAUAUUUAUUUAAAUUGUAUUAUUCUGUAUGACAGAUUCUCCUUUCAAGUAUUCUGUUAUAAACUUUUGAAAUUAAUCUGAAUUUAUAAUUUACAAAGAGAAAAUUAUGUACCCUAGUCUUGAAAUCUUUCCUUGUUGCCGAUAUAGAAAGAUUUGACAAUGUACAUAAUGACAUGAAGUGCCCUGUUUUUUGAUGGAGCUUUAGCAUCAAACUUCAAUUAGCUGAGUUAACCAGAUUGUUAGUUCCUUGAUUGAUUUUCCAAUUAACGAGCCAUAUCAGAAUAUUAGACUUGAGAAAUGGAAUUUUGACUUCUAAGGUCCUAAAAAAGAUUAAUUCACAAAAUACAUAAAAAUAAAAUGUACAAGAUGACGAUGAAAAUCAUUUGUGUAAAGAUAUUGAUGCUGUAUGACAUAUAAUUUUGCUUUUGGUCAAAUAUUGAAAUAUCGUAAGGAACAACGCGUUGAGCUUCCAACAAUGUGUCAGUCAUUUCAUUGGUUGAAGAAGACUUUAAAUGUUUUAACCCCAAAUUACUAUUCAUAACACGUUUUCAUUAAAUAUAUCAGAGAUCAGCUUUUUUCGUUUUGUCCCAAUUUUCUUGGUUUUCACUUUUCAGUGAAUUAAAGACCUAAAAAAUCUUUGUCAUCAAUGGAUAACAUCAUUGGUGAUUACAUUCGAGCCUUCUAUUAAGUUUAUGUAGCAAAUACAAAUAAGUAAUGGCUUAUCAUGCAUUUUUAGUUUUGUUAUGAUGUGAGGAUUAUAUGAGUCUUCCUCAAUGAAACAUCUGAAAAAGUGCAUGAGAAAAAAAUCAAAACAAUUUACAACUGAUGAGAUUGCACAUUACUCUUUUUUCUGAUUUAUAUGAAGCUUCAGUGCAAUCAUCUUGUCAAUUCUUUGUGAGACAACUAUAGAUAACAGUACCCCCAAAAAGGCACUUGCAGGGUGCUAAGCUUAAACUGGGACUGAACCGUUGGUAUCAAUGCAUAAGGUACAAAACAUACUGAUCAUCCACAGCAUCUAAUAAUGGCUUGGAGAUGAAAGAGUUAAGUAUAUAAUAAUCUGAAAAUUAUAUUUGUUAAUUUUUGUUAAUUGUUAAGUUUAUUUAAAAAUUGAGAUUAUUAUCAUUAUUAAAUUAUUUAUAAUUAUGCUAGUUAAUUCUUUUAAGUAAAUUAUUAAAAAUGAUUCCUUUGAAUAAUUUUCAGAAUUUAUUUAUAUAAUUUUCAUAUAAAUUUUUUCCAUUAAGUUGUUUUAUAUUUUUAGCAAACGUUGGACUUCUCGUUUGAAUGUUUUAUAGACAUUAUCUUCAACUCUUCGCCUCCUCAAACGCCAAAAUACAAACUCAGCCACUGCAUAUAACCACUGCAGAACAUUAUCAAAAGCAAUAAAUAUGUGAGGAUUUGUAGACAUUAUGAAAAUAAAGUGACAUUUACUAAGUACCAACCACUCUUUUUCCCAUCAGUUUGGUCUCCUCCAAAAGUUCUAGCCAGUCCAAAACCUGAAAUUUUUGGAUUCAUAUCACUACCAAUCACAACGUUACUAGCUUUGAGAUCUCUAUAAAUAAAAAAAAACUUUCGAUUUGCUAGCUUUACUAUUAACAAAGUAAUUUUUUUUUUGUUUAUUUAGCAAAGGAACGAAAUAAGCAUAAUUAUGAAGGAUAUAUCAAAGUUACCAUUCAACUUUGCACGACCUCUGUAAAGGAAAUGACUGACGCUAAACGGCCCGAAAAGCACAACACAGUGGUGUUGCAAUUAAUGCAGGAAGUUUUAUCCUAGGCUUAUCUUUCAAUUUUGUAUGAUGAAAUUCGAUAAAGAAAAGCAUACAUGAAGAAACACAAAAAAAGCUGCGAAAUCAAGAAAAAAUGUAGACUCAUACCUGAUUCUGAAGCAGACACUUUAACAUAUAGAUCCUGCCCUUUUGAUUGAAAUUGUUUGUAAUCAAUCAAAUGAUGAAACCAAAGGUCCCAACCACUGCCUCUUCCUCUAUUAUCUGAACUAGUGUAUGCCAUAUAGGAAUAGUUCUGUAGAUACUUAACCCUGCAUCCCUUGAGAUUCAUAGUUUUAGUCACCCAAGAAUGUGUAGCAUCUGGCAUUUUCAAAUUUCUUAAAUCUGAUAAAUCCAUCUCUGCUUUGGCAGUUGAAUGGCUUAUUGUGCUUACACCCUUGGGACCAGUCUUAUGAGUUCUAUCCUUCAGGGAAUUCAGGCUUAAACAUCAUCUUUCAGGGAAUUAAAGCUUGAAUCCUUUAAAAAGUGGAAGCUGAGUACCAUCACAAUUCCCUUUUGAACCACAAAGUCCAUAUCUGUCAAAGUAGUCUCUCGGAGCAAAUGAGGAAAGCAUCCAAGCUUGCUUUCUGCAUUUCAUGUGUAGUUAUGUUAUCAAUUAUUUCCAUUUGAGACACUAUGGAUGGUUGACACAUAAAAUAGAAAGACCAGGCUGGUCGAUCAUCCGUUGCUUUUAUAAGAUGAUGUGGUUGACUGACUUUUGAUGAAUGAAGUAUACACAAAGUGCAGCAGAAAACAAAUUAUAAACGUUGAGGUUCCAGAUAAUUCGUAUUUCUCAAUAAUAUGAAGCUUAUUCGUCUAAGCAUAAUAUAUAUAUUUAGAGUAACCACACUAAUCAUAUCAACUUAAACUUACUCAUAAUUUGCAUGCAACAUAAAAUCACCAAAUCUUAUAUAGAUAAUUUAAACUAUUAAUCUUGUUUAAUUAUAUAUGUAUUCAUCAUUUGAAGUGCUUUAAAAUAUUAAUCAUGAUUAAUUUCAAUAUCUUGGUAUUGAUACAUCACUUCCCAAAUAUGCUUUCCUUUUUUCUUUUUUUCCAUAUAUAGACACUCUUUAAUUAGGAGAUUGUAGCCAGCUAGAUACCAUUGUUGCCAGUCCAAGAGGUGACACUUUGGAGGUUGAAUAGCAUUUUAUUUUCGGGUUUUUUAGUCUUGAGAUGAGUGGCAACAUUAAUUCCUUUGGAUCUGUUGAAUUAGCUUUUGUAUAUAAAAGAAGGUAUCCCUCCUCAAACAUGGCAGAUCCCCUUUCAAACCCAUUAUUUUAAAGAAAAGAAAAUGCUAAUUUAAUAGAAUAGUUGCCAACUAGGGACAAGCUCCAUUGAUGUGACAUUAAUUUUGGUAUAUUCUAACACUUGUUGACUAGAUUCAAUUGGACAGGAUUUUUAAUUUGGAUGAAAUUUAAGGGUAGUGAUUAAACAAUGGAAGUGACAUUGGAGGUUCUAAGUCCCUUUCACCUAAGGGAGAAAUGAGUUUGUUCAAUUGACACAGCUUUGGUACAUACAGAAAGUAAGCUAAUACCAUAGCCAUAUUUCUCAGGUGACUUGCAACAAAUUUGAGACUGAAGUAUGGCAAAAUAUUGGGUAUUUGUAUAAAUUACAAUACAAAUAAAGAAAAAAAAUGAAAGAGACUAAAUAGAAAGGGGAAGUGGAAAGGUCCCCAAAAUCAAUUAAUUGCAAGUGGAAGGAGCAAAGCCCAACUUUGUUGGCAACAAGGUCAUGUUCCCGCAGAUGAUUUUGUUGCAGGGUGUUGUAAAUGAUAUUUACUUCCAGGCUCUGUCUUUUGGCAAAUAGAAGCUGAUAAUGGUUCUCUGGAUCAAGCUCAAAUAUAGCUCCAUCUUCAAUAUGAAUUGCAAAUCCUGGCACUGAUGAGAAAAUCAAGCCUUGUUAUUGCUUUUAAUAAAAGCAAAUAAAAUUUGAAGGGUGUUCAGUUGGGCAAUUACUAGUUCCCAAGUAACAGUUUUAACUGCUACUUUCUUUUACCAAAUUCCCAAGAAACUAUUCUUAGAGCUUCUAGGACUAAGGAACAGACUGGGAGGAGGUGAAGAUAUCGAUUCCAUCAGUAAAACAGUGUUGGUGAACAUGAAAGACAGAAUGUCUUUUUGUUUCAAAUUUCAGAGCUUGUAAGAACUCAUAGAAAAACUUUUCAGUUUGGCAGAUUUUAGAGAGCAAACAUGUUUAAACUGAUGAUCGUUGACUAGUAUGCAAGUCUUCCUUGAAAAGACCAAACUUUUCAGUUUGCGGAGAACUCUUAUUUCUAAUUUUUAUGAUGCUUCAGUGUAGUCAUCUUGUAUUGUCUCUGCGAAUCAUAUAUAUAUACAUAUGACCCCCAAGCAGGCACUUGCAGGGCAUUAAGCUCAAACUGGGACUAAACCACUGGUAUCAAAGCAUAAGAGACAUAAACAUACUGGUCGAUAACUUUUAAUAAUGGCUUGGAGAUGAAAGAGCUAAGUAUACAGUUUGUCAAUUAUCGAGCAUCUAGUACUGACAGAGUUAUUUCAUUUGUGGAAGAAGAUACAUGCUUGUCUGAUGAAGAAUCUUCUUCAAGUGGAUUUUUUUAAAACAAAAUACCAGCUUGUUUGGGGUGUGGCAAUUCAGUUUCACUUCCCAACAUCAGAAUCACAAAUGACGUACUUGGCCUCUCCUCAGGAUGCUGUUGUAAACUUAAAAGACUGAUAAUGGAAGUAUUGUAUCACUUCUGAUAGAUUGCAAAGACUCUCCUAAGCAUUCUUCAACAGGUUUUAAAGGACUGUCUUAUUUCCAUAAUCUCCAUGCCUGCAGCAAAUUGAAACCCUUUUAGGUUUUAUCAAUCCAAGAUAAGCAACAAAAAAUUGAUUAUAAAAAUAUCUGCUGAAACUGACAUGUUCAACAAGGUUGCCGCUCUGUGAUGGAUGGUAAAGCCCUCUAUAUUUUCUUCCCACUUAUUAUCUCCAGCAAUAAUAUACCAAAGCUAAAGAGAUCUGAUUUUACUGAAAGCAGUCCAACAAUAGCAUAUUCAGUGCCAUAUAACCUCUGCAGAACAUUAUCAAGAGAAAUAACUAUCUGAGCAUAUGUAGACAUUAUGAAAAUAAAGUGACACUUACUAAGUUCCAACCACUCUUGCAGUGUUCCCUUCAGUUUGGUUUCCUCCAAAGUUCUAAGCAAUCCAAAAUCUGAAAUUUUUGGAUUCAUCUCACUAUCAAGCAGAACGUUACUAGCUUUGACAUCUCUAUGAAUGAAAAAAAACAUAUUCAAAUGAAAUGGCAAAGAAUCUAAUUAACUCUUUUGAAGAAACUGUGUUUGGAUUUGUUAGCAAAGGAACAGAAUAAGCAUAUUUGUGAAGGAUAUAUCAAAGUUACCAUUCAACUUUGCACGACCUCUGUGAAGGAAAUGACUGACAGUAAACAGCCCGAAAAGCACAACACAGUGGCGUUGCAAUUAAUGCAGGAAGUUUUAUCCUAGGCUUAUCUUUCAAUUCUGUAUGAUGAACUUUGAUAAAGAAAAGCAUACAUGAACAAAAACAAAAAAAGCAGCGAAAACAAGAGAAAAUGUAGACUCAUACCUGAUUCUGAAGCAGACAUUAUUAACAUAUAAGUCCUGCUCUUUUGAUUGAAAUUGUCUAUAAUCAAUCAGAUGAUGAAACCAAAGGGCCCAAACACUACCUCUUCCUCUGUUAUCUGAACUAGUGUAUGCCAUAAGGGAAUAGUUCUGUAGAUACUUAGCCUUGCAUCCCUUGAGUUUCAUAGCUUUAGUCACCUAAGAAAGUGUAGCAUCUGGCAUUUUCAAAUCUUUUAAAUCUGAUAAAUCCAUAUCUGCUUUGGCAGUUGAAUGGCUUAUUCUGUGCUUACACCCUUGGGGUCAGUCUGAUGAGUUCUAUCUUUCAGGGAAUUCAGGCUUAAACAUCAGCUUUCAGGGAAUCAAGGCUUGAAUCCUUUAAAAAGUGGAAGCUGAGUACCAUCACGAUGCCCUUUUGAACCACAAAGUCCAUAUCUGUCAAAAUAGUCUCUUGGAGCAAAUGAGAAAAGCAUCCAAGCUUACUUUCUGCAUUUCAUGUGUAGUCCUGUGAUCAAUGAUUUCUAUUUGAGACACUUAGGAUGGUUGACAUAUAAAAUACAAAUACCAGGUGGGUAGAUCAUGCGUUGUUUUUAUAAGAUGAUGUGAUUGACUGACUUUUGAUAAAUGAAGUAUACAGAAAGUGCAGCAGAAAACAAAUUAUAAACAUUGAGGUUCCAGAUAAUUUAUAUUAUUUAAUGAUUUGAAGCUUAUUCCUCUAAUCAUUCUCUUCACUGGACAAACAUAACUUCAAUGACUUACUUGCAUUAAAUGAUUUCCAAUUCAUGAACCAUUUGAGACCAGUGUGGAUGUGUUGUCUCACAUCUGAUAGGUUGCAGGAUAGUCCUAAGAAUUGAUCACCAAGUUCAACAGGGGUGCCUUCGUUCCUCCCAUUAUCUCCAAGCCUGCAGCAAAUUGAAAACCUUUUAGUCAUUUUGUUAUAUCUUUCAACAUUUUAAUUCAUAAUAAUCAAAGAAUUUUUGAAACAUGCGAGUGAAAAUGAAAAUAAAGGAAACGGGUGGGAAGGUGUAAUAGGAGGGGAUGUAGGAAAUGUCACAUAGCAAUUGGCGGAGAAAUGCAGAUUGAAGGGUGUUGAGUUGGAGAUUUAUUUUUAUAUUAAAAAAUAAAAAAUUAAAGACUUGGUUUUAUUUUGAUAUUAAAAAAGAGUAAUUAUUUAGCAAAUGAGAAAUUCGGAGAUAAAAAUAAACUCACAAUGUUUGUUUGCAGUUUUUAAUAAGAAGCAAGAGCCUUGCAACCACAUUUAAUCAAACACCUCUUCUACAAUUCAGACAUAAAGCUAGCCUUGUACCAUCCAAAAAAUAUUCAACAAAGGGAGAAAGGACAUCCUUAGCAUCAGGCUGAUCCCAUUCCACUGAUUCCCACCAUUCUCUCGGCCAUACUGUGAUUCCUUUUAGAGAAGGAGGAGGAGAUGGUUUCCCAUUUUCAACAAGGGGAAGAGACAAAGGGAUCCUCUUUACCGCUCUACACCCCGAUAUGACAAGAUGUUGGAGAGAAUCUGCAGGAAUCAUAAGUCCACCGCUACAAAUGCUUUUCAAUUUUGGUAAGUUAAUCAAGAAUAAUGAUUUUAAUUUGGGAAGAAUAAAUGUUGUUCCUUCUUCUUUCUGAUUUUCUUCUGAUGCUAUUAUUUCCUCCAUUUCUUCACAACCUCGGACAUAAAUUUCCUCUAAGUUUUGGAGGCUCUUCAACGGCUCGAUUGUAAGCAACUUCUUCACCCUCGAACAACCAAUCACAUAUAAUUGUUUAAGAGAAGAGAAGGCAGGUGGUGUUGGAGCAUGAGAGGUAGAUUCAAAUUCAACCGCUACUCCUACUUCUACUCCUACUCUCACAACUUCACGCAAGUUGCGUAAGAAACAUAGUUGUAACACCUCAAUGUUGUGAAGUGCGUCGCAAGACGAUAAUGACAAGUCAACCACACACUCUAUCCCAGAACACUUCCUAAUUUGACAUAACUUCAAGUCAGGUGCCUUAUGAAACAAAGGAAUAUUGCUUAAACAUUUGAAAUCAUUACACUCCUCAAUAAGUAAAGGGUGAAGGUCAUUUGGGAGCACUAUAUCAUCACACCUCUCUAUCUCCAAAUUUCUAAAUUCAACCUUUUUCUUAAUUUCUUUGAAAUCUGGGAAUCCCCGAUAUAAAUACCCUUAAGUGGUCCCACUUGAAAAAAGAAAGAUGGAGGCCAUUUACCUUGUGCAGACUUUACAUAUUUCUUAAACUCUUGCAUGUUGCGAAAUGAACAUGAAACCCACUCAAGGUUCCUCAAUUUGCCCACUUCUUCCCCUCUUAAAUGUAACUCUCCCAGCAAGCAUUGCAGAUGAGAAAUCUUCACUAAUAUUCCUAUUGGUAGCUCCUUUAGAUGCCUUGACCUUAGACGAAAAUAUCUAAGGUUUUGUAACAUUUCUAUACCAUGAGGAAGCUCUUCAAUUCCUGUACCAUAAAGGUCCAACUUUCUCAGUGCUCUGAGCUCUGCUAAUGAAGGCACAUAUUUUAACCUGCCACAACUAGCAAGUAUCAAUGCAUCGAGGUUUUUCAAGUUAGAGAUGGAAUUGGGUAGAUCCUCCAAGUAAUAAUUACUAUAAAGAUUUAGAACUUUUAGUCUAGGCAUGUGCUUAAAGAAAGAUUCAGGAAUACUUUUUAAGCCACAUUGUUGCAAAAUCAAAGUUGACAAAUGAGGACACUCAGGUGAUAUGUGAGGAGGGAUUUCUAUUAAUUUUGAAUUUUGCAUCAAAGAAACCUUCUCAACACUCACUGUCCAUUCUUGCUCACUUGGGAAUUCUUUCAAUUGCAUACCUGCUUUUACCAUGAACUGAUGACCUUUAAUAUACAACGCCAUGUCCCUCAAAACAUCAUGCAUCUUAACUCCUUCUUUGCGACUCCUAGUUGUAGCCCUCUCUAGCAAGCAAUUAUUUUCAAGCUUAUUUAAAAUGCUAUGGCCUCUGUCAUGCAUUUCUUGUCUAGUCCUUAAGCCAUCAAGGAGUCCUUCAUCUAUCCAAUUUUCAAUUAAUUCAACUUCUCCAAUCACAAAAUCUUCAGAAUACAAGGAGCAAUAUAAGAAACAAUUUUGAAUUUUUGGAUCUUUCAAAUAGUCAUAACUGAACUUCAAACGCUCAAAUAUUUCAACAUCCGAUCCUUUCACACUUUUCACACGCUCUUUUAAUUCCAUUAAUGCAUUUCUCCACUCACAAAUAUCAUUUACCCCCUUCAUGCUUCCAGCUAUUGUGACAAUGCUAAGUGGUAAACCACCACAUUGCUCAACAAUUUUGUUGACAAUGUCUUUUAAAUUUUGAUCUUGUACAACACCAUGCCCCACACGAUCUAAGAAUAAGUUCAUGGACUCUGUCUUUGAAAGCGGUUGCACUUUGACCACCUUACAAUCCAUAGAUUGGCAGACCUCAAUCAAUCUACUAGUGAGUACAACUUUCCUCCCCAUACCUAUUGUUGGUUCAGGGAUACCCACAUCCAAUAGAGAAAACCGUUUCCAAACAUCGUCUAAGAUCAACACAUAUCUUUUUCCCUCCAAAAUAUCUUUUAAUGUUGAUGCUCUUUGCAGUUCAUCAUAUUUUGGAAGAGACUCUUUCAAAGAAUCUGCAAUAUCUUUUUGCAAUCUAAAAAUAUUCAAUUCUUUUGAUACAGUGAUCCAUAUCACUUGAUCAAACUUCUCACUUUCCUUUAACAAUCGAUUGUUGAUAUGCUUCAUGAUAGUAGUUUUCCCUAUACCACCCAUUCCACAUACUCCAAUCAUUCCAACCUUAUUACCCAUCAAAUACUCCCAAAUUUGUUCUUUUACAUCGAUUUCACCUUCUAGAUUUGGUGUUGGUAACAUCACCCCGGUGGUUGGAGGCCCAUCAACUGCCACAUUGUUAGGGAAACUACCGUUUUGGUGAAUUUCCUUUACCUCUUCAAUCAUUCGGCAAACAAAUUUUCCAAGACGACCACGUAAGAAGUAUGAAACAACAUGGAACUUGGUUUCAAUCUCUUCCAUUUCAGUGUUAACCUUUUCUACAGCUUUAAACCAGUACUCCACUUCUUCCCUCACCACUUUUCUGUGACGAAGCUCCUCUUCCUUUCUUGAUAUGAGGUCUCUCUUUCGGAUGUUUAAAACAUUCACUUUUUCUCGAAGAUCAUUCAUAUGUUCUUCAAGUUUUCGGUGAUGGUCAAUGUAUGUACAGGUUGGACCACCAAAGCACUUUAUCACUUCAAAAAUUUGCCCUAUAAGCUCCAUAUAAGCUAUUCCCUAGAGAUUAAACCAAGAUAUAUUAGAUCUCCAUAUGACAUAAGCUACUCCCUCCCUAAACUACAAUUCUAUAUUUUUCAUAUAAUACAGAAUAUGUUAGAAAAAAAUCUUACUAAUUAAAAUUUUUUUACCAAUUCUUCUUAAGAAAAAACAUAAUAUUUUUGAAAACAUUAUAAAAAACAAGAAGUUUUUGUUUCCGUCACUUAAUUACUAUAAUUAUUUUCCACCUAAUUAAGAGAAAAGAAGCAUGACAUAGACCAAUGAACAAAAAUAAUUAUGUGAAAGGAAAGAUGAUGAACCUAUGUUAUGAAUCUAAAACAUGAAUCCAAAUCAAUAUUAAACAAUUUAAUUUAUCUAGUCAAGUGAGGCAGAUGAGCUGGUACUUCUUCUAUUCUUAGAGUUUCUUGAUUAAGUUUGUAAAAGCAGAUCUCCUUGCAAAAAAUUGUCAAGAAAAUAGCAUCAAGCAGAUCUCCUUCCAAAAUAUCCUCUAUGAGAAGAAAAUGAGUAAUGAAGCACAUGAAUUAUUGAAAAGUGGGCAAGAUUAAUAUUUAUGUAAGAAACUAAAAUAAAUGCCCAAUUUGUGUCUUAAUAUUUAUAUAAAACUUAUGAUAAGAUGAAUUUGUGUUAUAAUUUAAGAUUUCGAUUAAUUAAUGUUAUCAAAGAUAAAACUAAAUCAUAAGUAUAGACAACCUACUUAAUUCCGUGAGGCAGGGAAGUGAUACUUCUAUCUUCAGAAGGCCCUUAAUAAAUUUGAGAAACAAGCCCAAUCAAGAAAAAUAGCAAUAACAAAUAGAUUAUCUCCUUGCGAAAAAGAAAAUCCUGAUCCUCCGAGAGAAGAGAAUUAUUGAAUUAUGAAGCAGAAAAGAAUUAAAGUCGGCAACUCAAUGCAAAGUUGAAUUAUUUUCAACCUAAUUAGGCAAAAAAGGAAAAAGAAUAGAAGCAUAAAAUAAAGAGAAAGACCCAAAAGAAAGUUUUAUGGAGUUUGUUGAAAGAUGAAUUUAUGGCAGAAGGUAAGAUUCAGAGAUGGUACCAAAGAUGAAAAAUAUAAGCGUAGAUACUUCAGCUUGUUGAUAUCACUAAGCAGAUCUCCUUGCAAAUUCCUGUGUAAUGAGAAGAGAAGGAAUUAUGAAGCAAAUAAGUCAAUGCAAGUCAUGACAUUGGUUUCGGGGUCACUUCCCUUAAAGCUGCUUUGAAAUAAAGAAAAUAUAAAUAAAAUAAAAGAUGAUGAAGUGAGCCUGAACACUCGUUCAUUUUUCUUAAAGAAACAAUAAUCUAAGUUAGGACAAAAAGGAAGCAUCCGAGAAGGAUCCUGCGUAAAUUUUUACCAUUAAAUUACUUUGUGAAAAGACAAAGUUAGGUGCGAAUUGAGCACAAGGAAAGAUGAAGCAAUUAAAAAUUCAUCCAUUGUGUUAGUGGCGAAAUAAAAUAAUGAAAAGUUAGAGAAAUAGGGAGUCAUGAUUAGUGACUUGUGGGGUAGUAAUUGGAUUCCCCUUCUAGGUGUUUUGUGUUAUGCCAUAAACUUAUUACAUUAAUCUGAAUUUAUAAUUUAUAAAGAGAAUUAUUUCAACCUGAAAACUGAAAAAUAAGUAUCCCAAUCUGCAAUAGAAUGAUUUGACUAUGCACAGAAUGUGCAUAAGCUAUGAUCUACUGAAUGUAGUCCAUUUUAUAAGGGGACAAGAAACGAAUUGCCCUGUUCUUUGAUGGAGCUUCAGCAUCAUGCUUCAACCAGAAGUUUUCUACUGAGUUAACCGGAUUGUUAGUUCCUUGAUUGAUUUUCUAGUUAAUGAGCCAUAUCAGAUUACUUAGACUUGAGAAAUAGAAUUUCAACUUCUAAGGUUCUAAAUGUGACUAGUUCACAAAAUAUAUAGAAAUAUAAGGUACAAGAAGAUGAUGAUGAAGAUCAUUAAGUAAAGAUAUUGAUGAAGUGUGACGGUCAUUUCAUUGUUGAAGAUGAUUCAUGGCCGCCCCGUGGAACUGCUUCAAAAUAGUUCUUUUCAGAUAGUCCUAAAUAAUUGCUGCUGCACACACAACAGACAAAUGUGGAUGCAGCUUAUCACUUCUGAUAGAGCAGAGGACUCCCCUAAGAAUAUGGAUCAUCUGCUAGUUCAAAUUGUCUUGACUCUUUCCACAAUCUCCAUUCCUGAUACAUAUCAAAACCAUUUUGUCAUUUAUUAGUUUGAAAACUUAAUUAGUUAAAUGAUAAUACAUUGCACAACACUUACAUGUCCAACAAGGCUCAACAUUGGUUGAUAAAACCUUCUAUUCUUCUCUCCACAUAUUAUCUCCAGCAAUAGCCAAAUAUAGUACCCAUCAACAAGUGGGUUAAUUUAUCCUUACCCCAUCAACCUUAAGUUAAGCUUUUGUUUUGGUCUGAUAGUUUAGGUGCACAAUCGAUCAAGAAGUGGAAUUUUUUCUGUCAAUAGCAAAAAUUAAAAUCAGAAACUGUUUUUUGACCAAGAAAAGAAGCAAAUAAUUGAAAUUUUGUAGUUUUAAGAAGGAAGCAAGACGAUUACCAGACGAGAAGCUGUGUUCAGCCAAAUGAAAAGGCAAUAGCAUUUCCUUAGCAUUAGGAUCAUCCCAUUCCAGUGAUUCCCACCAUUCUUCUGGAUAUAAAACGAUUUGCUCAACAGGAGGAGUGGGAGGAGAUGGUAGUCCAUUUUCAAGCAGGGGAAGAGAUAAGGGGAUCCUUUUUAACUUCGGACAUUCUAUUACCUCAAGAUAUUGACGAGAGUUUGUUGGAAUCAUAAGUCCAAAAACCACAAAUGCUUUUCUGCUCUGGUAAUUUCAACAAGGAAAGUUUCCUUAAUUUGGGAAGAAUAAAUGUUAUGUGGUAAUUGCCCUUCCUGCCUCAAUUUCCUCCAACUUUUGAAAACCCUACAGCAGCUUAAUUGAACACAACUUCUUCAUACUCGAACAGUUUCUCAAGCAAAACCUUUUGAGAGAAGAGAAAAUGGGAGGUGGUGUUGGGAUGUGAGAUGGAGAUACACAUAGAUUCAUGGUUUUCAUGAAUAAGAUAAAAAUGUUAUGAUCACCAUUUAAACAUAAUAUAUAUAUUAUAUAUAAUAUAUAUAUAUAUUAGAGUAAUCACACUAAUCAUAUCAAAUUAAACUUAUACUCAUAAUUUGCGUGCAACAUCAAAUCACCAAAUCUUAUACAGAUAAUUUAAACUAUUAAUCUUGUUUAAUUAUAUAUGUAUUCAUCAUUUGAAGGGCUUUGUAAAUUUAUAAAGUAAACAACAAUAAGCAAUAAUUAUGUUUAUUUUCAAUAUCUUGGUAUUGAUACAUCACUUCCCAAAUAUGCUUUCCUUUUCUUUUUCAUACAUAGACAUUGUCUUGUUUGGAGAUUGUAGCUAGCUAGAUACCAUUAUUGCCAGUCCAAGAGGUGACACUUUGGAGAUUGAAUAGAAUUUAAUUUUCAGGUGUUUUGGUCUUGAGAUGAGUGUCAACAUUAAUUCCUUUGGAUCUCUUGAAUUAGCUUUUGUAAAUAAAAGAAGGUAUCCCUCCUCAAACAUGGAAAAUCCCCUUUCAAACCUAUAAUUUUAAAGAAAGAAAAUCCUAAUUUAAUAGAUUAGUUGCCAACUAGGGACAAGCUCCGUUGAUGUGACAUUAAUUUUGGUAUAUUCUAACACUUGUUGACUAGAUUCAAUUGGAUAGGAUUUUUAAUUUGGGUGAAAUUUACGGGUACUGAUUAAACAAUGGAAGUGACAUUGGAGGUUCUAAGUCCCUUUCACCUAAGAGAGAAAUGAGUUUGUUCAAUUGACACAGCUUUGGUACAAACAGAAAGUAAGCUAAUACCAUAUCCAUAUUUCUCAUGUGACUUGCAACAAAUUUAAGACUGAAGUAUGGCAAAAUAUUGGGUAUUUGUAUAAAUUACAAUACAGAUAAAGAAAAAAAAAAAAGAAAGAGACUAAAUAGAAAGGGGAAGUGGAAAGAUCCCCAAAAUCAAUUAGUUGCAAGUGGAAGGAGCAAAGCCCAACUUUGUUGGCAACAAGGUCAUGUUCCCACAGAUGAUUUUGUUGCAGAGUGUUGUCAAUAAUAUUUACUUCCAAGCUGUCUUUUGGUAAAUAGAAGCUGAUAAUGGUUAUCUGGAUCAAGCUCAAAUAUAGCUCCAUCUUCAAAAAUGAAUUGCAAAUCUUGACACUGAUGAGAAAAUCAAGCCUUUUUAUUGCUUUUAAUAAAAGCGUAUAAAAUUUGAAGGGUGCUCAGUUGGGGAAUUACUAGUUCCCAAGUAAUAGUUUUAACUGCUACUUUCUUGUACCAAAUUCCCAAGAAACGAUUCUUAGAGCUUCCAGGACAAAGAAACCAAGCUUAAGGAUUCCAUCCAUCACUAACAGACUGGGAGGAGGUGGAGAUAUCGAUUCCAUCAGCAAUACUUAAAAACAAUAUUAGCAAAAUGGUGUUGGUGAACAUGAAAGACAGAAUGUCUAUUUGUCUCAACUUUCAGAGCUUGUAAAACUUAUAGAAAAACUUUUCAGUUUGGCAGAUUUUAGAGAGCAAACAUAUUUAAACUGAUGGUCGUUGACUAGUAUGCAAGUCUUCCUUGAAAAGACCAAACUUUUCAGGUUGCACAGAAUUCUUAUUUCUGAUUUUUAUGAGGCUUCAGUGUAGUCAUCUUGUAUUGUCUCUGUGAAUUGUAUAUACAUAUUAUACCCCCAAGUGGGCACUUGCAGGGUGCUAAGCUCAAACUGGGACUAAACCACUGGUAUCAAAGCAUAAGGGACAUAAACAUACGGAUCGAUAGCCUAUAAUAAUGGCUUGGAGAUGAAAGAGCUUAAGUAUACAGUUUAUCAAUUAUCGAGCAUCUAGUACUGACAGAGUUAUUUCAUUUGUGGAAGAAGAUACAUGCUUGUCUGAUGAAGAAUCUUCUUCAAGUGGACUUUUCUUAGACAAAAUACCAGGUUGUUUGGGGUGUGGCAAUUCAGUUUCACUUCCCAACAUCAGAAUCACAAAUGACAUACGUGGCCUCUCCUCAGGGAUUUUGUCAUUUAUCAGUUAGAAAUGUUGAAAAUCUCAAGGAUUUUGUUAUAUUUGCAGACCAUUAUCUGUUAAAAUGAUAAAGAUAAAACGAGAGAGAAAAUAUAAUUGAACACAAAGUCUCCCUACAGUCUUUUCAUUCAACAAUAACACUUAUAAAUACAUUUACAGGAGAGAGAAGACAACAAUAAAAUAAAACAACACGUAAAGUAAAAUAACUGCACAAUAUCCAUAUCUUACAUAAUCACCUACUUUACAAUACAAACCCACUACCUAACAUAACAAUAACUGACUCAACAUGACAAUAAUUGUAAAAGAGAAAAUAAACUGAUAUUAACUAAUAAAUUAAAAAAUUGUUGAGAAUAACUGAAUCUGAUUCUUCAAGUCAAAUCUCAUUCUUCAACAAAACUUGAUUAGUUAAAUGAUAAUACAUUUCACAACACUUUUAUGUCCAACGAGGCUCAACACUUUUGUCUGGUUGAUAAAAGCUUCUAUUUUACCUUCCACAAAUUAUCUCCAGCAAUAAUAUACCAAAGCUAAAUACACUACCCAUCAAGAAGUGGGUUAAAUUAUCCUUAACCCAUCAACAUUAAGUUAAGCCUUUGUUUUGGUCUGAUAGUUUAGGUGCGCAAUCGAUCAAGAGGUAGAAUUUUUUCUGUCAAUAAUAAAAAUUAAAAUCAGAAACUAUUUUUUGACAAAAAACAGAAGCUAAUAAUUGAAAUUUUGUAGUUUUAAGAAGGAAGCAAGACGAUUACUAGACGAGAAGCUGUGUACAGCCAAAUGAAAAGGCAAAAGCAUUUCCCUAACAUUAGGAUCAUCCCAUUCCACUGAUUCCCACCAAGUAAUUGUUUGGCCCUUGAUCCAAUAUAGACUUGGUGUAUUCUACUGAGAUUUGUAAAUUUAUUUUCUUAAAUUGAAAGCACUGUUGUGAAGAUUUUUCCCUUUCGAAAUGAUUGGUUUUUCAAUGUCAGACAAAUUAAGAAUACACCAUACUUUAGAAAUGGAAACAUAUAUAAACUACUUAUUAAAUUACUACAACAUCAAGCAAAUUACUGUAAUGAACAAGUGAUAAUGAAGUCAAUAUAAUCCAAGAAGAUAGAUUGAAGGGAGUUCAGUUGGCUAAUUGAUGCAGAGAAUAUUUGGAGCAGACUGGGUUAAUCCUUGUCCAAAACUCCUUGAAAGCCUCUUCAUAGCAAUUUCCUGUGACCAUUUACUAAGAUAGAUUGAAAGACCGCCUGCAAAUAGGAGAGAAGAAAAUGUUGAUGUAACGACCCAAGUCCAAUCACCGGCCCAGCAACUUUUCGAACCUAAACCAAUCACUGGCCUAGCAACUUUUCGAACCUAAACCACAUGGCCCUUAAAAGCUUAAGCUUAAGUUACUAGUAGUGAUGGACUUGGAUUGUUAUAUAGGUAUUAACAAUCAUAUUCAUAUUAGACGUGAGAUUUGAGGUAUCACAAUCCGACCCAUUCAGAUCCUUGAUGUCAUCAUCAAGACCACACAUCACAUUCACGAGACCAAGAUCUCAUUAGAGCAAUGUGAAAGCUCACAUCGGACUAGCGCAAGCUCUUAUACCAUUUGUAAUGACCCAAGUCCAAUCAUUGGCCCAGCAGCUUUUCGGACCUAAACCACAUGUACCUCAAAAGUUGAAACUCAAGUUACUAGUAAUGAUGGACUUAGAUUGUUAUAUAAGUUUUAACAAUCAUAUUUAUAUCAGAUGUGGGAUGUGAGGUAUCACAAUGAACUUGAGUUUAAGUUUUUGAUGACCAUGUGGUUUAAGUCUAAAAAGCUGUUGGGCCAGUGAUUGGAUUUGAGUCAUUACAAAUGGUAUCAGAGCCUACGCCAGUCCGAUGUGAGUUUUCACAUUGCUCUUAUGAGAUCUUAUUCUCGUGGAUGUGAUGUAUGGCCUUGAUGAGAACAUCAAAGAUUUGAGUUGGUGGGAUUGUGAUAUCUCACAUCCCACAUCUGAUAUGAAUGUGAUUGUUAAAACCUAUAUAACAAUUCGAGUCUAUCACUACUAGUAACUUGAGCUUAACUUUUUAAGGACCAUGUGGUUUAGGUCCUAAAAGCUAUUGGGCCAAUGAUUGGACUUGGGUUGUUACAGUUGAUUAACAUCAACAAGUACAUCCCCUAGAUAAAUGAAUAAAAAUAAACACAGAAUGUGGAUAAAAAUAAACUGAGACUAUUUGCAGUUUUAAGAAAAAACGUUGAGGACUUUACCGAUGUGAACCGUCGAGCCACAUUUAAUGGAGUAGAUUUUCUCCAUCUCAUUCUACCAAAUAAAAACAAAGGGAGAAAAGACAUGCUUAGCAUCAAGGUGAUCCCAUUGCACUGAUUCCCACCAUUCACUCUGGCUUACAUUGAUUUCUUCUAGAAAAGGAAGAGGACAUGGUUGCCCAUUUUCAAAAAGGGCAAGACACAAAGGGAUCCUCUUUAGAUUUGGACAUUUCCAUAUUCGAAGAUUUCGGAGAGAAUCUGUAGGAAUCACAACUCCACCACUGUAAAUGCUUUUCAAUUUUGGUAAGUAGAUCAUCCAUAAUGAUUUUAAUUUAAGCAGAAUGAAUGUUGUUCUUUCUCCUUUACGAUUUUCUUCUUAUUCUGAUGCUAUUAUUUCCUCUAUUUCUUUAUAGUCUUCAACUUUAAUUUCCUGUAAGUUUUAGAGACCUUGCAACAACUCAAUUGGGAACAACUUCUUCAUCUUCCAACACAAAUCUAGAUGCAAUAAUUUAAGAGAAAAGAAGAUGGUAGGUGGGGUUAGAGGAGGAGAGGUAGAACCAAAUUCAAGCGCUACUCUUACUCUCACAUGUUCAUGCAAGUUCCACAAUGACUUAAGGAAUAUCUUCUUAAUGUCAUCAAGUGUGUUGCAAGGCGACAAUGACAAGUCAACCACACACGCCGUCCCUUUACACUCCUCAAUUUAACAUAUCUUCAAGUUAGUUGCCUUACGAAACAAAGGAAUAUUGCUUAAACAUUUGAAAUCAUUACACUUCCCAAUACGUAAAGUAUGAAGGCCAUUUGGGACUAGUGUAUCUUCUAUUUUCUCCAUCUCACAAUGCAUGAAUGUUAUCUGCUUUUCAAGUUUCUCUAAAUUUUGGACAGGUAGACUAUGUAAAACCUCAGAUGAUCCUACUUCAGGAUAAAGAUUUUUAGGCCAUUUACCUUGUAUAGACUUUGCAUAUCUUGAACUCUUACAAGUCACAAAAUGAACAUGAAAGAAUCUCAAGCUUCAUCAAUUUGCCUUCUUCUUCUCCCAUUAAAUGCGGCCCUACUAUUAAGCAUUGGAGAUGAGACAUCAUCAGCAAUAUUCCUACAGGCAGCUCUUUUAUAUUAGAUGACCAUAGACGGAGAUAUCUAAGGAUUUCUAACUUUUUUAUUCCAUGAGGAGCCUCUUCAAUUCCCAUAUACAAAAGGUCCAACUUUUUAAUGCUCUAAGCUUUGCCGAGGAAGGCACACAUUUUAAUAUGUAACAACAAAAAAGUAUCAAUGCAUUAAGAUUUUUCAAGUUACAGAUGGAAUUGGGUAGAUCUACAAUCUGAGUACGAGAAAGAUCUAAAACUUUUAGGUCAGACAUGUACUUAAAUAAAGAUUCUGGAAUCCUUCUUAAGCCACAGUUUUGCAAUAUCAAAGUUGACAAACGAGGACAUUCAGGUGAUAUGUGAGGAGGGAUUUCUAUUAAUUUUGAAUUGUCUAAUAUCAAGGAAACCUUCUCAACACUCAUUGUCCAUUCCUGCUUAAUUGGUAGUUCCUUUAAUUGCAUGUAUUGAUGACCACUACUUUUAACAUACAAUGCCACGUCUCUCAAAACAUCAUGCAUCUUAACUUCUUCCGUAUAAUCAGUUGUAGUCCUUUUUAACAAGCAAUUAUUUUCAAGCUUAUUUAAAAUGCUAUGGCCUUUGUCAUACAUUGCUUGUCUAGUCCCUAAGCUAUCAAGGAGUCCCUCAUCUAUCCAUUUUUCAAUUAAGUCUGUUUUUCUAAUUCUAAAAUCCUCAAGAUACAAGGAGCAAUAUAAGAAAUGAUUUUGGAUUUCUAGAUCUCCCAAAUGGUCAUAAUUGAACUUUAAACACUCAAAUUUUUCAAUGUUCGACCCUUUCACAAUUUUCACUUGCUCCUCUAAUUCAUUUAGUGCAUUCCUUCACUCACAAAUAUCAUCUACUUCUACCCCUUUUAGGCUACUAGCCAUUGUCACAAUGAAAAGUGGUAAACCGCCACAUUGCUCAACAAUUUUGUUGACAAUAUCUUUUAAAUUUUGAUCUUGUAUAACACUAUACCCCACACAAUCUAAGAAUAUAUUCAUGGACUCUUUUUUUGAAAGCGGUUGCACUUUGACCACCUCACAACCCAUAGAUUUAUAGACCUCAAUUGAUGUACUAGUGAAAACUACUUUCCUCCCCAUACUUAAUGUUGGUUUUGGGAUUUCCUCAUUUAGUAGAGAAAGUCAUUUCCAAACAUCGUCUAAGAUCAACACAUAUCUCUUUUUCUCUAAAAUAUCUUUUAAUGUUGCUACUCGUUGCAAGUCAUCUACUGGAAGAGAUUAUUUCAAAAAAUUUGUAAUAUCUUGUUGCAAUUUGAAAAUAUUCAAUUCUUUUCAUAUAGUGACCCAUAUCACUUGAUCAAAUCAAUUAUCCUUCAACAAUUGAUUAUUGAUAUGCUUCAUGAUUGUAGUUUUCCCUAUACCACCCAUUCCACAUACUCCAAUCAUUCCAACCUCUUCACCCAUCAGAUACUCUGAAAUUUGCUCUUUCAUAUUGAUUUCACCCUCUAGAUUUGGUGUUGCUAAUGUCAUCCCAGCAAUUGAAGGCCCAUCAACCGCCACACCAUCAGGGAAACAACCUUGUUGGUAAAUUUCCAUUACUCCUUCAAUCUUUCCGCAAAGAAAUUUUCCUAGAUGGCCGCAUAAUAAGUAUGAAACAGCACAGAACUUCUUUUCAAUCUCUUUCAUUUCAGUCUUUACCCUUUGUACCUCUUUAAACCAGUUCUCCACUUCUUUCUUCACCUCUUUUCUGUGACGAAGCUCCGCAUCCUUAAUGGAUUCAACAUCUUUCUUUCGAGAUUUCAAAGCAUCCACUUUCCUUCGAAGCUCAUUCAUAUGUUCUGCAGGUUUUCGAUGAUGAUCUAUGUAUCUAUAGGUUGGAUCCCAAAAAUACUUUAUCACUUCAUAAAUUAGCCCUAAAAAGUCCAUAUAAGCUACACCCUAUAAUUUAAUAAACCAACUUAUAUUACAUCUCUACAUGAUAUAAGCUACUCCCUGUACUAAAAUUCAAUAAAAUAAUAUGUAGCCUAUACGUUACAAAAAAAAUGUUACAAAAUAAUAAAUUUUUAAUUUCAAAAUUGGAAGACUAAAUUUACUAUAUGUGAUUUUUUUAUAUAUUUUACACAUUUAAUACGAAUUCAAAUGAGAUUAGGCAAGAAUUUGUAAUUGUUAGCCUAAGUGAACAUAGAAUGACCAUUUAAUGUUAAAUAUUCAAAUUCAAAAAUGGAUAUUGUCACCCAAAAAUGUAUUUGCUAGCAUAACUCAAAUAAAAGGAAAACUUUAUAAUAUUAAAAUUUGCAUUGAUUUCACUGUUUUCUCUACCAAUUGUUUCAAAUAGCGUUUAUUGCUAUUAAUUUUUUUGACCAUGACUCCUAAUUUGAUUUUUGUUUCAUACUUAUUACUUAUUUAAUUGUUCACAUUCAUAAUUCAGAGUUUACCUUAUAUGGUUACUUCAACUUUACCUCUUAAAAUAUGAGAUAUCUUGAAAUUAAUGCUAUAAAUUGCAAAUUUUUUCUACUUACUUGGUAUGUUUUUGUUAAAGAUUAUAUAUAGUUUCUUAGGCUAUUCUCCACUCAUAUUUAGUUUCUAUGUUUCCCUAAUCCAAAUUUCCAUCAUCAAAAGUUUGAUUUCUUCUUUUUGCAGACCUCUUUGAAUUAUUCAAUUUUGUCUAUAUAUGUAUUUUGACCUCAUUGAUUUAUAAUUAUUUAGUAGUUAUGUAUUUCAACCUCUUUAAUGAACUAUUCAAUUUCUUAAUUUAUUUUCUUUAGUCAAUUGUUUUACUGUAUUCAUAUGAGUAGAUUUUCAUCAGAAUCAUUUAAUCUUCUAAGACGUUAUUCAUUAACAUGGAUACUUCCAACUUAAUUUUUUUUUACAUUCUACUUUAUAUUUUAAAUUCUUAAAAAUUAUUAUAAAAUAAAAUUAUCACCUGUGCAUUGCAUGGGGAUAAAUCUAGUUUUUGAUAAUAAUAAACAUCAUCUUAACCAAUAAUAAUGAUAAUAAUAAAUAUCAAAGACCCAAGCAAAUAUUAAUCAUUUUGAAUUGAUAGUCCUAAAUAUUUUCAAUUGUGGAUUAAUAAAAUCUAAACAUGAGUAAGGAAUAUAUAUAUUACAUCUUUUUGAUAAUUAAAACAACAAAGCUUGUGACAACAACAAUAUAUCAUAAAAAGAUAUUUAAGAAAUGAUAGAAAGAAUAAAUUGAGAGAAUAGAAUGAUAUUUAGGGUCCGUUCGUUUUGCAGUAAAAUAUUUUCCGGAAAAUAUUUUCAGGACUUAUGCUUGUUUGGUAGAUGGAAAAUUAAUUUCAGAUGUAAAACAUUUUACGAGUUAAUAGGGUUAACCAUGGAAAAUGUCUUAUACGCUUGAAUGGCGUAAGACAUUUUUCAAAGAACAACAAAAACACUUUUAUGCUAAGUUUAUGAUUAUAAGUUUGAUGAAUAUUAAUAUUUAACUUAAAAUAUUAAAAAAAUAAAAAUAUUAAUAUUUAACUUUAAAAUAAUUACUUUAAAAUAUUAAUAUUUAAAUUAUACAAUACUAUUAAAAUUAAAAAAAAUAUUAUUGUAAUGAAACCAUUCAAUACAAUUAAAUUUUUUAUUUAUAAAUGGAAUAAAUCUUAUUAAUAAUUAUAAUAAAAAAUAUUUCAAUGAUCAUUAUUUGAUUAAUACACAUUUAUAAUAGUUUUAAAUCUUACUAAUAAUUAUAAUUAAAAAUAUUUCAAUGAUCGUCAUUUAAUGAAUACACAUUUAUAAGCAUAGAUUUAGGAUAUCUUACACAAUUGAUAAAUAUUUACAUUUUAUAGUUAUGAUAAAAAAGUGAUAAAAUGGAAAUUUUUUUGAAAAUUAGAGUUUAUUUUCAUCACAGAUAUGUGGUUAAAUGNGAAAUUUUUUUUUAAAUUAGAGUUUAUUUUCAUUACAGAUAUGUGGUUAAAUGCUUUGAGAAAUAUCAUUAUUGAUUUUGUCCAUUUUCAUCUUCAUUCUUAAUUUUGAUCCCAAAUUAGUGAAAAUCAAAUAUCAAUAUUGUUUUGUAAUCAACUCCUAUUUAUUAUUUUAACGCCUAAAUAAGUCCACCAUAAUGAAAAAUAUUUUUCAUAAAAUGAUCCAAACAACUGAAAAUGUUUUCGAUAGUUUAUCCAAAUAAUAAAAUAUAUUAAAUUUUCCUAUAAAAUAUUUUACAUAGGAAAAAUUUUCCUUCAGUAAGUCAAUUUACGAUUACCAAACGGACCUUAAAGUACCUGGUUUCCUUUUCAAAUUAUUUGGAAAGACCAAGAAUAGAGGUUAAGUAGAUGAACUGCAAAUUAAUCCCCUUGGCUCCUUGCGUUAAGUAGAAAUUUUUGUGGAAAAUUAAAAAUCUUAUUUUUAACACCAGUAGUGUUAAUUCAAAUUUAUACUUGUACCAAUUCAAAUUUAUAUUUAAGAGGAGAAUCAAUCCAAUCUGAAGAGUGAAAAAGUCUUGAAUUAAUUCCUUGUUGCUGAUGUAGAGAGAUGUAGUUGUAGAAGAAACUAUGCAUAGAAGGAACAAGUUUAGCCCUUGAAAAGAGCCUUGUGGAUGGCUCUUGAUCUUUACACAAAUGCUGCAGAGAACUUGUAAAUGAUGAGCUUGCAUGGAAUUUGUAUAUCUUAAUCAUAUGAAGCUUCAGUUUGGUCCUUCAAUUUCUCUAUCUAUGAAAUAAACACAAGGCAUUGUAUAUGAACUAUUCUAUACAUCUCAACUCUUCUUGGACAUAGAGAAAACCACCUUCAACUUGCUUUGAAAUUUCCUUCCUUGGUACAUGAUGCUGUCAAGUUAAGAACAUUGAAAAAUAGGAUUCAACCUUGCAAUCUAUAUUGACAUGAGGUUAACAUAAUUCUAAUCCAGUAUUGCAACUCCAUUACUGUCGACUCAAUCUGUAAUUAAUUUAAACAUAAGGGAAAGUAAGGUUAGAUUCAUUCGCAUUGGCUUUCUCUGCCCUGCUUUUAGAAAUUUCGUUGGUGAAAUUGGAUAAUGCUUCUUUCAGAUAAAAGACUUGAAGAUACCCCUUAAUAAAAGGAUUUGACAAAUUCUAAAUAUAAUUAGUUGAAUCAUAUGCAGAAACUGAAUUUGAAUCUCAAAAAGAAGAUUUUCUUCUCAUGAAAGCCUCUGUCAAGAACAUAUCCAGAUGACUUACAAUUCAAGUGAAUUUGGAUAGUGCUUCUGAUGAAAGCCUUCGAACAUUAGAACUACAGAAGACAUACAAUUCAAGUGACCAGAUUCCAGAUCAAAUAUGAACAAAUCUUGUAAAUUAGCAUUUUCUCCGCUCCUUGUUAUGCAACGACCAAGAGGCUUUACAGGAUUACGCUGCUGAAGCUUGGCAAUCAAUUUCACAUCAUUUCAUAGCACAUACAAUCCUUGUCAAGAACUCCUUCAAAGCCUAUACACAGCAAUUUGUCAUCCAUCUGAUAAUGUACCUUGAAAGGUUAAAAGUAAAGAUUGCAAAAGGGUUUUCCUUGUACAUACGUCCGAAUCCACCUUAUCCAAGCUUCUUGUAUAUUGGUGACUUUAGCUAUAGAGGAUAGGUCAAACAAGUCGAACCUCUGUGUUUUCCUUAUUGCCUACAACGUUCUGCUCAGCUUCUCCCAUGGUUUCUUUCUCUGAAAUAGAGGGAAAUGUGCCUCCUUAAGUGUACAGUUUUAAUGAUUUUUUUUUUGGAAGAUAUAGUGAUUUUUCAAUGCUGUUUUUUCCUCUGUUUUUUCUCCACUGACAAAUGAUUGAUACGCAAUUUCUAGCAAACUAUACCUUUCGAAAAAUUUCAAGAAACAGAAGAGCUAAAUGUUAUGGUUGACAAGACAAAUGAGCUUUACCUUGUAGGUUUCUCCAGAGUUUGUAAAGGUAACAGUCAAUUAUCACCAUCCCAGCAACAAUGGCAAGGUCAAUUCUGCUUUGAGAUAACAGCCAUCCUCUUCUUAGGCUCAUCUUUAGCCUUUUCAGGUUCAGAUUUGACACAGGAAAGUCAGUUAAACUUAUUUUCAGAAAGUAAGACACAGAGUUAAAAAAUGCUAAUGACACAUGAAAAAGCAAAUGAAUUAAUGAGUUAAAAUUAGGUGCAAAUUUAAUUUUGAAGCAGAAAUUUGAAUAUAAUGUACUCGCCCACCAGAAGGUUUCUGUCUGAUAUCAAAUAAUCAAAUCACAUGACUGAAAAGUUAGUGGUAGGGCCAAGAACUGAAGGUCCAUGUUUUCCUUGAAGCUUUCAGCAUGCCCUGAUCAGUUUCUUCAAUGUUUUUCUCUUAUCUAAUGUUCUGCUCAACAAAAGAAUAAAAAAUAAAAAAAUUUAAGACUAAAUGUAAAUGCAUGGUAAACUUGCUGUCUAGCUGAGAUGGUUUUAGAAAUUACUGAAGGCAUAGUGAAUGCUAAAUUUUUAAUGAAAAUCUGAUAGCCCAAUAACCAUAGGCAAAAAACAACUUGUGAAAGGACCAACCUAUCAUUGCCAUCAUCAGCCUCUUACUCUUCAUCCUCUUCUGAAGAAAAUUCUAAAACAACUUGUGAAAGGACAUCCUUAGCAUCAGGAUCAUCAAAUUCCACUAAUUCCCACCAUUUUCUUGGAUGAACAUAGCCAUGCUCGAGAGGAGGAGGAGUUGGUUGCCCAGUUUCAAGCCGGGGUAUGGAGAAAGGGAUCUUCUUGAGCUUUAGACAAUUUAUUAUUGAAAGAAAUUGGAGAGAGUUUGCAGGAACCAUAACUCCACUAGUACAAAUGCUUUUCAGUUCCGGUAAUUUGAUCAGGUGCAAGGUCUGUAAUUUGGGAAAAACAUAUGUUGUUACUUUAGGACCCCUUUCUUCUUCUUUGUGAUUUUCUUCCUCUGCUUCUGAUGCGAUUAUUUUCUCCAUCUUCUCACAGCGAUUAACUUCAAUGUACUCUAAGUUUUGCAAGCCCCGCGACAGCUGAACUGAAAACAAAUUCUUUAUACUUGAACAACGAAACAAAUGAAAUUUCCUAAGAGAAGAGAAGAUGGCAGGCGGUGCUGGAGUGUGAGAUGUAGAGACAGCUGCUACUCUUCCUUUCACAAGUUCUUGCAAGUUGGACAAACAUCGAAGACGUAGAACCUCAAUGUUCUGCAAUGAAUUGCAAGAUGAUAACGACAAAUCAACCAUGCACUUUAUUCCUUUACACCAACUAAUAGUACAUGUCUUCAACUCAUUUGCUUUACGGCACAAAGAAAUAUUGCUCAAGCUUUUGAGAUCAUGACAUGCCUCAACAGUCAGAGUCCUAACGCAAUUUGGGAGCACCACAAGAUCUUCUUUCCCUAUCUCGCAAUUAAUAAAACAUACCUUUUUGUCAACUUCGACAUCCUCAAGAUGAGAACACCAAGGAUGGCUCCUGAUGUUGCCCAAAGUAGGUGAUCCAACUCCAAGCCAGUAUUUGGAGGGCCCUUGACCCAAUAAAGACUUGGCAUAUCUCUCAAAGUCUUGUAUUUCACAAAAGAAUCCUAGAAGAAUCUCCAGCUUCCUUAGUUUGGCUACUUCCUCUCCUCUUCUAUUCAUCCAAGUUUUCAAGUAUUGGAGAUUAGAAAGCCUUAAUAGAAUUUCCGUUGGUAGUUCCUUUAGAUUCCUUGAAUAUAAAUCAAGAUAUGUGAGGCUUUCUAACAUUUCUAUACCACGAGGGACCUCCUCAAUAAUUGUAUCAAAAAGAUCCAACUUUCUCAAGGCUGUAAGCUUGGCUAAUGAAGGCACGUAUCUUAAACUGCUACACCUUCGAAGGACAAGUGCAGUUAGAUUUUCCAAGUUAGAAAUGGAAUUGGGCAGAUCAUAAAUGCCAGUAUCCGAAAGAUCUAGAACUUUUAGCCCAUGCAUGUGGUCAAAGAAAGAUUCUGGAAUUCUUUUGAGACUAUGAUUUUCUUGCAAUAACAAGGUUGACAAAUUAAGGCAUUUCGGUGAUAUCUGAGGAACUUGUGAUAUGUAAUUGUGAAUCAAGGAAACCUUCUCAAGAUUCUCUUUCCAUUUAUGCUCACUUGGUAACUCCACUAAUUGCAUACCAGCUUGAACCAUAAAGUGAUGACACCCUCUUAUAAUAGACAAUGCCAUGUCUCUUAGAACAUCAUGCACCUUCACUUCUUCCUUAACAUUGUAAGUCAUCACCCUCUCUAACAAGCAAUUAUUUACAAGCUUAUUUAAAAUAGCGCGACCUCUGUCUUGCAUUGCCUGUCUAGUUUCUAAUUCAUCAAUGAGAUCCUCAUCUAUCCAUUUUUCAAUCAACUCUUCUUCCACAAUGUGAUAAUCUUCAGGAUACAAGGAACAAUAUAAGAAACAAUUUUGAAUUUUUGAAUCUUUCAAACGAUCAUAACUGAAUUUCAUACGCUCAAAUAUUUCAAUAUCUAACCCUUUCACACUUUUAACCCUUUCACGUAAUUCAUUUAGUGCAUUCCUCCACUCGCAAGUAUCGUCCACUCCUCUCAUGCUACUAGCUAUAGUCACAAUGGCAAGCGGUAAACCACCACAUUCGUCAACAAUAAGGUUUGCAAUUUCCUUUACAGUUGGAUGUUGUAGAACCCUAUCCCCCACCAGAUUCAAAAAUAAGUUCAAUGACACCUUCUGCGAAAGAGGCUGCACUUUAAACACCUUACAACCCAUAGAAUUACAAACCUCAAUUGAUCUACUAGUGAUUAUCACUUUGCUCCCAUUAUGUAAUGUUGGUUCCGGGAUUCCCACAUCCAAUAGAGAAAACCGUUCCCAAACAUCAUCUAAGAUCAACACAUAUCUCUUUCUUUCCAAGACUUCCAUUAAUACAGUUGCCCAUUGCAACUUAUUUUCUGGAAGACAGCAUUCUAAAGCACAUGCAAUAUCUCCUUGUAAUUUGACAGCAUUGAAUUCUCUAGAUACGGUGACCCAAAUCACUGCAUCAAACUGAUUUUCCUUCAACAAUUGAUUAUUGAUAUGCUUCAUGAUGGUAGUUUUUCCCAUUCCACCCAUACCACAUACUCCAAUCAUGCCAACCUCGUCACCCAUUAAAUUUUCCCAAAUUUGUUCCUUUACAUCGAUUUCACCUUCUAGUUUUGUUGUGAGAAAUGUCACCCCUGUAGCUGGAGGCCCAUCAAUUGUUACACCCUCAGGGAAAUUACCUCGUUGAUAAAUUUCCUUUGCUUCUUCAAUCUUCUGGCAAACAAAUUUCCCUAGGCGUGCACGUGAGAAGUAUGAAACAACACGCAAUUUCUCUUCAAUCAUUUGAAGUUCAAUAUUUAUCCGUUCUAAAUCUUCAAACCAUUUCUCCACUUCUUUCUUCACCACUCUUCUGCAACGAAUAUCUGCUUCCUUUCUGAAUUCAAGGUCUUGCUUUCGAAUAUUUAGAUCAUUCACUUUUCUUUUAAGAUCAUUCACAUUUUCCUUAAGUUUCCGAUGAUGACUAAUGGAUCUAUAGGCUGGACCCCCAAAGCACUUUACCACUUCGAAAAUUGGCCCUAGAAGCUCCAUAUAAGCUACUCCCUGUAGUUUAAAAACCAAUAUGUAUAUUACAUCUCCAUAUAAGAUACUGCUUGUACUACUAUGUUAUUAAAUCUCAAACUUUUAUCAAUUCUUCUAAAGAAAAAAAAAACAAAAGAAAAAAUAUUGCUUUUAAAAAACUUUAUUAAAUACAAGAAUCCAUCAUCUAUGAGAAUAGUGUUUAUAUUUCUAAGACUACUUAUACGUUAAUGGUUUUAUAUAUAGUAUAUGUAGAUGAAUGUAUACAUGUUUGUGUUUAUAUAUUUAUAUAUAGUGUUCAACUUUCUCACUUAAGAACCAUCACAAAUUCUUUAAAUAUGUCUGACCUGUGUUUUCGAGUCUUGAUCAUUAGAACAUUAAUAAAAGGAGGAAUAAAAAAAUGAGAAAACAAUUCUCAAUAAUAUUAAACAUCAAGGACCCAAGCAACUUUCUCACUUAAGUUGUAUCACUCUCUAACAGGUAAUUAUUUUCAAGCUUAUUUAAAAUGCCCUCUGUCAUGCUUUGUUUGUCUGGUUUCUAAGCUGCCAUGGAGCCUCUCAUCUAUCCAAGUUUCAAUUAAUUUCAUUUUCUCAAUUUCAAAUUCUUCAGGACAUAAGGAACAAUAAUAUAAGAAAAAAUUUUAAAUUUUGUAUUUCUCAAGCAAUCAUAACUAAACUUCAAACAACCAAAUAUGUUGACGUUCACACCUUUCACACUUGUCACCCACUCUUCGAAUUCAUUCAGUGCAUACCUGCACUCACAAUAUCAUCUACCCCUUUCAUGCUACUGGCUAUUAAUGUCGCAAAGCGGUAAAUCGCACAUUGCUCAACAAUUUUGUUGACAAUGUCUUUUAAAUUUCAAUCUCAUACAACACCACAUGAUCUAAGAAUAAGUUCAUGGACCACGUUUUUUAAAGUGAUUUCACUUUGACAACCACACUAUCCAUAAAUUUACAGACCUCAAUUGAUUUACUAGUGAGUACAACUUUCCUCCCCAUACCUAAUGUUGGUUUUGUGAUUCCUACAUCCAAUAGAGAAAAAAUUGUUUCUAAACAUCAUCUAAAAUCAACGCACAUCUCUUUUCCUCCAAAAUAUUAUUUAAUGUUGCUGCUUAUUGCAAUAUAUCUUUUGGAAGAGAUUGGUACGAAGAAUCUGCAAUAUCUUCUUGCAAUUUGAAAAUAUUCAAUUCUUUUAAUAGGUGAGCCAUUCCACUUUAUCAAGCCAGUUAUCCUUCAACACUUGAUUAUUUAUAUGCUUCAUGAUGGUGGUUUUCCCUAUGCCACUCAUUCCAUAUACUCCAAUCAUUCCAAUCUCAUCACUCAUCAAAUACUUCAUUUUUUAAUUUUUCUUCAAUUUCACCUUCUAGAUUUGGUGUUGGUAAUGUCACCCUGGUGGCUAAAGGCCCAUCAAUUGCCACACCAUCAAGGAAACCACCUUGUUGGUAAAUUUCCUCUAAUUCAUCAAUCAUUCAACAAAAUGAUUUUCCUGGACGACCGCAUAAGAAGUAUGAACCAACACAGAACUUCUUUUCAAUAUUUUCCAUUUCAGUCACCCUUUGUACGUCUUCAAAGGUUAAAUGGAGCACAGUAUGCAAGCCCAAAAGAUUUGGAGGACUGGGGAUCUCAAACCUUAAGCAUAAAAACUUAGCUCUCCUUGCAAAAUAUUGGUGGUGGCAGUAUGGCAACGAGGAAAACGCAUUAUGGAGGUGGCUGAUUGUAGAAAAAUAUGAAAGGGGGCAAAAUCAUUGGAUCCCCUCAUCAUCAAACAUGGGAAGAAUGUCACUGAUAUGGAGAUCCAUUGUAAAUUUACCUUCCAACAAGGGUGUUCAAGAACUUGUGUGAGACCAAGCAUGUCGCUGGAUUACUAUUUUCUUUUGGCUUUACAAAUUGAUUAAUGAUGUUCCUCUUUUCUCCAAAUUUUCUCCUCUUUUCUCUUUGAUUGUUUCAAAGGAAAUGAAAGUUGUUGACGUGCAGAACAAUCGCACUUGGUCCAUAACCUUUAAACACAAUCUACAUUUAUGGGAGAAAGAAUCCUAGGAUGAGAUCCUCCACAAGUUCUCCUCGAUUCCUUACUCCAAGGAAAAGGUGAUAAGCUCAUUUGGCGGCAUGACCCUAAGGGUGCUUACUCUAUUAAAACUUUCUACUUACUCCUUGAUGCUAAUCCUAGUGCUUGAAAGUUUGGUUCAACACUAUUUGGCACUUCUCCAUUCCACCGAAGGUGCAAUGUUUCCUAGGGCUCUCGCUCAUAUAUAGAUUCUUUACCUACCAAAGGCUUCCUUUCGUCCGAGGUGUUUAAUUCAAUGUUGAGCAACUUAGAUGCCCUUGGUGCAGCCUUGUAGUGGAGACAUUUGUUCUUUGUAUUAUCUUUCAGUAUGUUGCUAGUAGUUGAUGUAUAAUUCUCUUAGGCCAUGUUUCGGAUUGUUCUGCAUUUUGUAAGCCAGGCUGGUUAGGUUCUGUUAUGCACUCUUUGUGCACUCCCCUGUUUUUUUCAUUUUCUGUUCUGCAUCAACAGUUCAUUCCCAGCCUUGUACUUUAAAAAACCAACUUAUAUUACAUCUCCAUAAGAUAUAAGCUAUACCUUGUACUAAAAAGCAAAAGAAAAAUAAGUUUUGAAAACAUUAUUAGAAACAAGAAGUUUUUGUUUCGAUCAUCUAGGUGAAUAAUGUUUACAUUUCUAACACUAUAUUUAUCAAGCCGAAUGUAUAUACUAUUUAUAUAUAGCAUAUACUUCCCCCCCUAGAGAGCCAACACAAAUUCUUAAAUAUGUCUUGCCUACAUAUCUCAAAAAGAUAUUUAAGAAAUAAUUGCAUGAAUAAAUUGAGAGGGUAAAAUGACAUUAAAAAUACCAGGUUUCUUCUUCAGGAAAGAUGAAGAACAGGGCUCAAGUAGUACAAAUUAAUCCCCUUGGUUCCUUGCUAAGCACAAAUUUGUUGUGGAAAAUAGCUGACAUAAAAGAGGAACAAUCACUAGUGUUGUAAAGGUGAAAAGCUUAUUUGCUAAAGUUUUUGGAAUUAUUCUUAUUCUUGCUCACUAUAAUUAAUUUCAGCCUAAUUAAUAGAAUAGAAGCAUGACAAAGAAAGAACCAAAAUAAUUUUGUGCAACUUGACUAAAGAUGAUGAAAUUAUGUUACAAGAUUAUAAGAUUCUAAAGAACAUGAACCCAAAAGAUUAAAAAUCAUAAUAUAAAGGAAUAGGCAGUUCAAUUACCUGGUUAAAUGAGACAAUGAAUGGGUACGUCUCCUCUCCUUAGAGGGUCUUGGUUAUAUUGGUGGAAUGGAAGAUUAAUAUCUCCUUCUAGAAUUUGUCAAGAACAGAGCAAAAUCAGAUCUCUCUGCUGGCAAAAUAAUACUAAUUGACGAUGUGGAGCAACAAAACUUGUCACACGCCCUAUAUCUACUUUCUUAUAUUUAUAUUUCAAAGGAGAAUUAAUCCAAUUUAGAAAAGUCAUGAAUCAUAAUUUCUUGUUGCCGAAAUAGGAAGAUUUGGUUAUAGAAGAAACUACGCACAACAAGUUCAGCACUUUUGUUCUUUUUUAUAAUUAAGAAACAAACAUAACCCAAAAAGACAUAUGUUUAAGCAAUCAAUAUUGCAAGAAUAAAGGAGACGGUAGAAUGAUUGCAAGGGCUAAAGCCAUAUAUAGUAGGGGAAAGGAUAUGAAACCUGUUUCCUUCUUCAAAUUAUUUGGAAAGAUGGAGCUGAACAGGUUCUGAGCCACAAACCUCUUGGAAUUUUAUGUGGAAAAGUAACUGACAUGAAAGAAGGAGAAUCAAUAGUGUUAUGAUAAAGCUGAAACUCUUCACUUGUAGCCUAUGGGUCUAGUUUCUACUCAUUAAUGGAGAGAAUUAUUGAAUUAGGAAGCAAAAAAGAAUAUAAAGUCGGCAACUCAAUGCAAAGUCAUGAUAGGAGUUGCGAAGUCACUUUCCUUGAAUUCAAUAAAAAAACUGGCCACUUGUCCUCUCUAUAAUUCCAAUAUUGUCCUCACAAAUUUCUUUAUGUGUUAAGGAAAAGACCAUAAAUACGUAGAGAUGUUAAAACAGUGUAUCGGCUGAAUAACCAAGCUACUGUUUACUGCAAUAGAACCUUGACAUGACAUAAUUACACGUAUAAAAUUAUUCUUACUAAUAAUAAAGGUUUAAAUAUUGGUCAAGUAAUUUUGGUUGGACCACACUUGACUUUUUACUUAUAAAAAAUUUAGAAUUAUUUGUAAAAAUUAUUUUAUUCAUAACUUUUAAUAUUCAAAAAGCUUGUAAAAUAGUAAAAGAUAAAAUCAGAAAAGCAAAGCAGAGAAGAAACAAUACCAAGAAGAUAGCAACUAGCAAAAUCUUCUAUCCAAAGAGAAUGAAUUUUUGGAGCAAAAACAAAAUUAAAAAAUGGCCAAGUCAAUGCCACAAGUCGUUGCUGAGGUUUCCAAGUAACUUCCCUCGAAACAUGAUAUAUAUAAAUGCAUAUUUCCUAUUUUUUGUCGUUCGGAACAUAGAAUUUUCCUUUAUUUUUAAUCUAUUCUCACUUUGUAAAUUUUGUUUGACCAUUGGCUUUCUGAAUCUAAUCUAACCUCGUAUAAUUUCAUCAUGAGGUUUGUAUAUUAAUAAUGAUCAUUGAAGAAUCUAAAAUUAACAAUUAUCAAGUGGCCACUAAAGAAAAACUAAAAUGAAGUAUACUUUGUGUGAAAAUUUUUACUUUAUUGUUCAGAGUCUAGUCUUCUAGAGAUCAUAUUCUAUCUUGUGUGUGACAGACACCAAUUCUUAAUGCUCUGCACUGAAAACGCAAUAUACAUUUGCUGAAUCGAAAUUUAUAUUCAAAAGGAGAAAUAAUCCAAUUUAAUAAAUUACUAAAAAUGUCAUGAAUUAUAAUUCCUUGUUGCUGAUAUAGAAAGAUUUGUUUAUAGAACAAACUAUGCCCAACAAGUUUAUCCCUUGAUAUAAGUAAUGAGAAAGGAAAGAGGCUUGUGCAUGAUGGGGAUUCAGCUUCUUGCUUAUCAGCCAUUUCAGAUUACUUCAAAAAAUGAAGGGGAACAGAUCAAUUCAUUCUCUUCCAGAAUAUCCUGUUUAUUAUUUCCAUGGUUAUCGGUAUCAUAUCUGUUUAUCAAACCGAUAUAUUAUCCUUCAACAAUUGAUUAUUUAUGUCCUUCAUGAUGGCAGUUUUCCUAUGCCACCUAUUCUGCGUACUGUAAUCAUUCAAACCUCAUCACUCAUCAAAUACUCCCAAAUUCGUUCUUUAAUUUUACAUCGAUUUUAACUUUUAGAUUUGGUGUUGGUAAUGUCACCCAGGUAGCUAGAGGCCGCAUACUGUCAAGGAAACUACCUUGUUACAUUUCCUUCUUCAAUCCUUCAGCAAACAAAUAAAUUUGCUAGCAUAAAUCAAACAAAAAUCAAACUUUAUUAGAUUUAGCAAUACAUCCAAUUUCCAAAUAAAAUAAAACGGAUACAAGAUACCAUCCACUAACAGUGACACAACUCCUGCAAACAAUUCAAAAUAUAUUACAGCAUAACAAUAUUCCUCCCCUUCCCACCCCAUUUAUUUACAAUGUAUCCCAACCGGCCAAUCGGCAGGCAAAGUUGGGUAAGGGGAGUGUUGCUUCCUCGAUUACUUGCAAGUGACGUAUACUUCCACUACACCACAAUCACCAUCUAUUCUCUUGGAUUGGGUUCCGACCAGUGCAUCAAAGUGUAAACUGACAAUGUUGUGAGGCGGAAGCGUAUCUUUUUCUGCCAUCGAAUAAACUUUCCUCCUUUAAAGUGAUCUAACUUGAUAAUGUUGGUAGCUAUCUCUUUAAGUGAAGCCAUUUUGAAUGCUAAGAAAAUAAGUCUUAAAAUUGUUGGUACAAAUGGGGUUUAAAUGGAAUUCAAAAACUAGCAUAAUUGACUUCAAGACAAGCCUUUCAAUAGAAGUUAUAUUUAAAUUUAUUUUGCCCCCACCACUCAGUAUGCAAAAGAGGAAUAAUGCGAAUAGCCUUAGGGAUACAAUGAAAUCAACAUCUAACUUCAUCUUACACUUUAUGAGAGUAGACCGCUAGAUACACCUGAGGAUUUACAAAAUUAUUUGGCUUUAGAGCUUACUUUUUGCAACAAGUAGAUUAUAAGGAAUUUGGACGCUUUUGUAGUUGAUGGGAACUUAAGUGUUUACGUUAAUAGAACAAAAUAUUUUUCUUACUCUUUGAUAUUUCUGCUCUUGUUUUGUUUUUGAUUUGAUGUCUCAAAAUGGUUGGCAACAAGCCCUUCCUAUAGGCUUCCUAUAGGCUUGCAAGUGUCUCUUCUUCAAUGACCCAACCCUUUCAUUAAGGCACCAUUUUGUCUAAAAGACAUCUUUACAUUUUGUUAGACAUAACUUUUGGAUAAAUGUAUUAUUUCAAUAGUCAUCUUAUGAAAAGAUAACUAUUCAUUCUAUAAAAUAUAAUCUUUGAGUUAUAAUUUGUAAUAAUAACAUUCCGUAUUUAACUUUUGAGCUAUGGUGUCUUUUUAAUUUAUCUCAUAACUUUUGAAUGUCAUUUUACUAAGAGACAUAACCAUUCAUAUGAAAACUUGCCUACAAUCCAAUAGACACACUAUGUCACUUUAUGUGACAUAACCUUUGAGCUAAGAUAGCUUUUCAUUAUAUGAUACAAUCUUUGAUUUUGAAAAUGCACCAACAACUUUGACCUUAUAAACAACUCUAAAACCACCUUCCCCUAGCUUGAUGUCCAUAGAAAAGCUAUCAGUAGCACGAGCUACGGUAGCAAGCUCCAAUAUUGGAAGCUCCAUGUCUUCAUCCUGGCCUUGAUUUUCUUGAUCAUUUUCCUUAUUGUCUUUAGUUUCUUUAAAACAGUAGCCAAAAUAGGCUUGGCAUUCACCAUAAAAUAUGAUAGAUUCUUAUGCAUUUUGAUUGAGCUAGAUAAUUGGACAAAAAGCUGAUGUGGUUUUUGAGAUCACACAAAACCAUGUAUCUCCAGUUAUUUGCUUCAUUAACAACUCUAUUUUGACACCGAUAAGCAUUGAAGAAACUGCGUGUUGAUUUGCUAGCAUCAUUACUAACAAAGGAACAAAAUGAGCAUUAUUUGUGAAGGAUAUUUCAAAGUUACGUCUGAACUUUCUGGGGCUUCUAUAAAUGUAAUAACUGACAAUAAACAGCCCCAAAACCACAGCACAGUAGUGUUCCAAUCACUGCAGCAAGCUCCAUCCUGAGCUUAUCUUUCAAUUCUGUAUGACAGAAUUUGAUAAAGAAAAGCAUAUAUGAACAAAAAAAAGUAGUGAAAACAAGAGAAAAUGUAAACUCAUACCUGAUUUUGGAGCAGACACUCUAACAUAUAGGUCCUGCCCUACUGAUUGAAAUUUUCUGUAAUCAAUCAAAUUACCAAACCAAAAGGCGCAUCCCCAAACUCUUCCUCCAUUAUCUGAACUAGUGUAUGCUUGGCUUUCUACAUUCCAUGUGAAGUCCUGUAUCAUCAGUUUGGUUCAGAACAAGUCCUGUGAUCAAUGAUUUCUAUUUGAGACAUUUUGUAUGGUUGAAAUAUAAAAUAGAAAUACCCGGACAUUGAAGAGAUAUUGAAGAGAAUUUGCAGGAAUCAUAACUCCAAAACCACAAAUGCUUUUCAGCUCUGGUAAUUUCAAUAAGGAAAGUUUCCUUAAUUUGGGAAGAAUGAAUGUUAUGCUAACAGCCCUUCCUUCUCCUCUGUUAUUUUCUCCCUCCUCUUCUGAUUCUAUUAUUUGCUCCAUUUUUUCACAAAGCCUGACAUCAAUUUCCUCCAAAUUUUGAAAACACUGCAACAGCUUAAUUGAACACAACUUCUUCAUCCUCGAACAGUUUCUCAAGUAAAAACUUUUGAGAGAAGAGAAAAUGGCAGGUGGUGUUGGGAUCUGAGAUGGAGAUACACAUAGAUUCAUGGUUUUCAUGAAUAAGAUAAAAAUGUUAUGAUCACCAUUUAAACAUAAUAUAUAUAUAUAUUUAGAGUAAUCACACUAAUCAUAUCAAAUUAAACUCAUACUCAUAAUUUGCACGCAACAUCAAAUCACCAAAUCUUAUAUAGAUAAUUUAAACUAUUAAUCUUGUUUAAUUAUAUUUGUAUUCAUCAUUUGAAGGGCUUUGUAAAUUUGUAAAGUAAACAACAAUAAGCAAUAAUUAUGUUUAUUUUCAAUAUCUUGGUACUGAUACAUCACUUCCCAAAUAUGCUUUCCUUUUCUUUUUCAUAUAUAGACAUUGUUUUAUUUGGAGAUUGUAGCUAGCUAGACACCAUUAUUGCCAGUCCAAGAGGUGACACUUUGGAGAUUGAAUAGCAUUUAAUUUUCAGGUGUUUUGGUCUUGAGAUGAGUGGCAACAUUAAUUCUUUUGGAUCUGUUGAAUUAGCUUUUGUAUAUAAAAGAAGGUAUACCUCCUCAAACAUGGAAAAUCCCCUUUCAAACCCAUAAUUUUAAAGAAAGAAAAUCCUAAUUUAAUAGAUUAGUUGCCAACUAAGGACAAGCAUUGUUGAUGUGACAUUUAUUUUGGUAUAUUCUAACACUCGUUGACUAGAUUCAAUUGGAUAGGAUUCUUAAUUUUGAUGAGAUUUAUGGGUAGUGAUUAAACAAUGGAAGUGUUGACAAUGGAGGUUCUAAGUCCCUUGCAUCUAAGAAAGAAAUGAAUUUGUUCAAUUGACACUGCUUUGGUACAUAUAGAAAGUAAGCUAAUACCAUAGCCAUAUUUCUUACGUGACUUCCAACAAAUUUGAGACUUCAGUAUGGCAAAAUAUUGGGUAUUUGAAUAAAUUACAAUACAAAUAGAGAAAGAAAAAAGAAAGAGACUAAAUAGAAAGGGGAAGUGGAAAGAUCCCCAAAAUCAAUUAAUUGUAAGUGGAAGGAGCAAAGCCCAACUUUGUUGGCAACAAAGUCAUGUUCCCACAGAUGAUUUUGUUCUUGUUGCAGAGCGUUGUCAAUAAUAUUUACUUCCAGGCUGUCUUUUGGUAAAUAGAAGCCGAUAAUGGUUCUCUGGAUCAAGCUCAAAUAUAGCUCCAUCUUCAAAAAUGAAUUGCAAAUCCUGACACUGAAGACAAAAUCAAGCCUUGUUAUUGCUUUUAAUAAAAGCAAAUAAAAUUUGAAGGGUGUUCAGCUGGGCAAUUACUAGUUCCCAAGUAACAGUUUUAACUGCUACUUUCCUGUACCAAAUUCCCAAGCAACGAUUCUUAGAGCUUCCAGGACUAAAGAAACCAAGCUCAAGGAUUCCGUCCAUCACUAACAGACUGGGAGGAGGCGGAGAUAUCGAUUCCAUCAGCAAUACUUGAAAACAAUAUUAGUAAAACAGUGUUGGUGAACAUGGAAGACAGAAUGUCCUUUUAAACUUUCAGAGCUUGUAAAACUCAUAGAAAAACUUUUCAGUUUGGCAGAUUUUAGAGAGCAAACAUAUUUAAACUGAUGAUCGUUGACUAGUAUGCAAAUCUUCCUUGAAAAGACCAAACUUUUCAGGUUGCAUAGAAUUCUUAUUUCUAAUUUUUAUGAAGCUUCAGUGCAGUCAUCUUGUAUUGUCUCUGUGAAUCAAAUAUAUAAAUAAAUAUAUAUAUAUAUAUAUAUAUAUAUUACCCACAAAUAGACACUUGCAGGGCGCUAAGCUCAAACUGGGACUAAACCACUGGUAUCAAAGCAUAAGGUACAUGACAUACUGACUGAUAGCCUAUAAUAAUGGCUUGGAGAUAAAAGAGCUAAGUAUACAGUUUAUCAAUUAUCAAGCAUCUAGUACUGACAGAGUUAUUUCAUUUGUGGGAGACGAUACAUUCUUGUCUGAUGAAGAAUCUUAUUCAAGUGGACUUUUCUUAAACAAAACACCAGGUUGUUUGGGGUGUGGCAAUUCAUUUUCGCUUCCCAAUGUCAGAAUCACAAAUGACAUACUUGGCCUAUCCUCUGGAUAUGCUGUUGUAAACUUAAACGACUGAUAAUGGAUGAAUUGUAUCACUUCUGAUAGAUUGCAAAGACUCUCCUAAGCAUUCGUCAACAAGUUUUAAAGGACUGCCUUAUUUACAUAAUCUUCAUGCCUGCAGCAAAUUGAAACCCUUUUAGGUUUUAUCAAUCCAAGAUAGGCAACAAAAAAUUGAUUAUAAAAAUAUCUGCUGAAACUGACAUGUUCAACAAGGUUGCCGCUUUGUGUUGGAUGGUAAAGCCCUCUAUUUUUUCUUCCCACUUAUUAUCUCCAUCAAUAAUAUACCAAAGCUAAAGAGAUCUGAUUUUACUGGAAGCAGUCCAUCAAUAGCAUAUUCCGUGCCAUAUAACCACUGCAGAACAUUAUCAAAAGCAAUAAAUAUAUGAGGGUAUGUAGACAUUAUGAAAAUAAAGUGAAAGUUAGUAAGUUCCAACCACUCUUUUAGCGUUCCCUUCAGUUUGGUCUCCUCCAAAAGUUCUAGCCAGUCCAAAAUCUGAAACUUUUGGAUUCAUCUCACUAUCAAGCAGAACGUUAUUAGUUUUGAGAUCUCUGUGAAUAAAAAAAAAUUAUUCAAAUGAAAUGGCAAAGAAUCUAAUUAACUCGUUUGAAGAAACUUUGGAUUUGCUAGCAUCACCAUUAACAAAGUGUUUUUUUUUUUUUUGUUUAUUUUGCAAAGGACAACUUGGCACGAUCUCUGUAAAGGAAAUGACUGACAGUGAACAACCCCAAAAGCACAACACAGUGUUAAUGCAGGAAGUUUUAUCCUAAGCUUAUCUUUCAAUUCUGUAUGAUGAAAUUUGAUAAAGAAAAGCAUACAUGAACAAAAACAAAAAAAGCAUUGAAAACAAGAGAAAAUGUAGACUCCUACCUGAUUCUGAAGCAGACAUUUUAACAUAUAGAUCCUGCCCUUUUGAUUGAAAUUGUCUGUAAUCAAUCAGAUGAUGAAACCGAAGGGCUCAACCACUACCUAUUCCUCUGUUAUCUGAACUAGUGUAUGCCAUAUAGGAAUAGUUCUACAGAUACUUAGCCCUGCGUCCCUUAAAAUUCAUACUUUUAGUUACCCAAGAAUGUGUAGCAUCUUGCAUUUUCAAAUCUUUUAAAUCUGACAAAUCCAUCUCUACUUUGGCAGUUGAAUGGCUUAUUGUGCUUACACCUUUGGGACCAGUCUGAUGAGUUCUAUCUUUCGGGAAAUUCAGGCUUAAACAUCAGCUUUCAGGGAAUUAAGGCUUGAAUCCUUUAAAAAGUGCAAGCUGAGCACCAUCACGAUUCCUUUUUGAACCACAAAGUCCAUAUCUGUCACAGUAGUCUCUUGGAGCAAAUGAGAAAAGCAUCCAAGCUUGCUUUCUGCAUUUCAUGUGUAGUCCUGUGAUCAAUGAUUUCUAUUUGAGACGCUUUGGAUGGUUGACAUAUAUAAUAGAAAUACCAGGUGGGUAGAUCAUGCAUUGUUUUCAUAAGAUGAUGUGAUUGAGUGACUUUUGAUGAAUGCAGAAUACACAAAGUGCAGCAGAAAACAAAUUAUAAACAUUGAGGUCCCAGAUAAUUUGUAUUUUUCAAUAAUAUGCAGCUUGUUCCUCUAAUCAUUCUCUUGAGUGGACAAACAUAACUUCAAUGACUUACUUGUAUUAAAUGAUUUCCAAUUCAUGAACCAGUUGAGACCAGUGUGGAUGCGUUUUCUCACAUCUGAUAGGUUGCAGGACAGUCCUAAGAAUUCACCACCGAGUUCAACAGGGGUGCCUUCCUCUCAUAAUCUCCAUGCCUGCAGCAAAUUGAAAACCUUUUAGUCAUUUUAUUAAAGUAUUUUAAUUCAUAAUAAUUAAAGUAUUUUAUUUAAGUGUUAAAGUUCUAUUUAUAGUAGUAGUAAUUAUUAUUAUUAUUAUUAUUAUUAUUAUGAGUGUGUGUGUGUGUCUUUUUUUGUUUUAAAAUUUGAAAAAAAAAAUUAAAACCAAAUUUGAAAAAUGUGAGUGAAAAUGAAAAUAAAGGAAAGGGGUAGGACGUGUCAGAUAGCAAUUGGCUGAGAUAUGCAGAUUGAAGGGUGUUUAGUUGGAGAUUUUUCUAUCAUUCAUAAAAUUAAAGACUUGGUUUUAUGUUUAUAUUAAAAAAGAGAAAUUAUUUAGCAAAUGAGAAAUUAAGAGAUAAAAAUAUUUAGCAAAUGAGAAAGAGAUGAAAAUAAACUCACAAUUAAUGUUUGCUGUUUUUAAUAAGAAGCAAGAGCCUUGCACCCUCAUUUAAUCAAACACCUCUUCUCCAUCUCAUUCUACCAAUACUGAACAAAGGGAGAAAGGACAUCCUUAGCAUCAGGCUGAUCCCAUUCCACUGAUUCCCACCAUUCUCUCGGGCUUACUAUGAUUCGUUUUAGAAAAGGAGGAGGCAAUGGUUUCCCAUUUUCAACAAGGGGAAGAGACAAUGGGAUCCUCUUUACUUCUGGACAAUCGAAUAAUGUGACAUGUUGGAGAGAAUCUACAGGAAUCACAAGUCCACCACGGCAUAUGCUUUUCAAUUUUGGUAAUUCUUCCAAGACUAAUGAUUUUAAUUUGGGAAGAAUAAAUGUUGUUCCUUCUCGUUCCUGAUUUUCUUCUGAUGCUAUUAUUUCCUCCAUUUCAUAACAAUUUCCAACUAUAAUUUCCUCUAAGUUUUGGAGGCUUUGCAACAGCUCAACUGGAUACAACUUCUUAAUCUCGUAACAAGAAUACAGUUUCAGUGUUUUAAGAGAAGAGAAGAAGGCAGGUGGUGUUGGAGCAUGAGAGGUAGAUUCAAUUUCUGCUGCUACUCCUACUCUCACAACUUCACGCAAGUUCCACAAUGACUCAAGCCAUAGCUCCUCAACGUUGUGAAGUGCGUUGCAAGACCAUGAUGACAAGUCAACCACACACUCUAUCCCUUCACACCUCCGAAUUCUACAUUUCUUCAAGUCAGUUGCCUUACGAAACAAAGGAAUAUGGCUUAAACAUUUGAAAUCAUUACACCCCUCAAUACGUAAAGUAUGAAGGUCAUUUGGGAGCACUACAUCGUCACACCUUUCUAUCUCCAAAUUUGUGAAUUCAACAUUUUUCUCAAUUUCGUUGAAAUCUGGGGAAUACCCAAUAUAAAUAUUCACAUCUGGUCCCACUUGAAAAUCGAAAGAUGUAGGCCAUUUACCUUGUGUAGACUCUGCAUAUUUCUUAAACUCUUGCAUGUCGCAAAAUGAACAUGAAACACACUCAAGCUUCCUCAAUUUGCCUACUUCUUCCCCCCUUAAAUGUAACUCCACCAGUAAGCAUUGCAGAUGAGAAAUCUUCACUAAUAUUCCCAUUGGUAGCUCCUUUAGAUGCGUUGACCCUAGACGAAAAUAUCUAAGGUUUUGUAACAUUUCUAUACCAUGAGGAAACUCCUCAAUGCUUGUACUAAAAAGGUCCAACUUUCUCAGUGCUCUGAGCUCUGCUAAUGAAGGCACAUAUUUUAACAUGUGACAAUUAGCAAGUAUCAAUGCAUUGAGAUUUUUCAACUUAGAGAUGGAAUUGGGUAGAUUCUCAAUCUCAUAAUUACCAGAAAGAUUUAGAACUUUUAGCCCAAGCAUGUGCUCAAAGAAAGAUUCUGAAAUCCUUUUUAAGUCACAAUAUUGCAAUAUCAAAGUUGACAAAUGAGGACAUUCAGGUGAUAUGUGAGCAGGGAUUUCUAUUAAUUUUGAAUUUCGCAUCAAAGAAACCUUCUCAACACUCGUUGUCCAUUCUUGCUCACUUGGUAGUUCCUCCAACUGCACAUUGGCUUUUACCAUGAACUGAUGACCUUUAAUAUACAAUGCCAGGUCUCUCAAAACAUCAUGCAUCUUAACUCCUCUUUCAUCCAAAUAAGUUUCAUCCCUCUCUAACAAGCAAUUAUUUUCAAGCUUAUUUAAAAUGCUAUGGCCUCUGUCAUGCAUUUCUUUUCUAGUCCUCAAGCCAUCAAGGAGUCCUUCAUCUAUCCAGUUUUCAAUUAAUUCAACUUUUUCAAUCACAAAAUCUUCAGGAUACAAGGAGCAAUAUAAGAAACAAUUUUGAAUUUUUGGAUCUUUCAAAUGGUCAUAACUGAACCUCAAACGCUCAAAUAUUUCAACAUCUGAUCCUUUCACACUUUUCACAUGCUCUUCUAAUUCAGUUAAUGCAUUUCUCCACUCACAAAUAUCAUUUACCCCCUUCAUGCUUUCAGCUAUUGUGACAAUGCUAAGUGGUAAACCGCCACAGUGCUCAACAAUUUUGUUGACAAUGUCUUUUAAAUUUUGAUCUUGUACAACACUAUGCCCCACAUGAUCUAAGAAUAAGUUCAUGGACUCUGUCUUUGAAAGUGGUUGCACUUUGACCACCUUACAAUCCAUAGAUUGACAAACCUCAAUCGAUCUACUAGUGAGUACAACUUUCCUCUCCAUGCCUAGUAUUGGUUCAGGGAUUCCCACAUCCAAUAAAGAAAAUCGUUUCCAAACAUCAUCUAAAAUUAACACAUAUCUUUUUCUCUCCAAAACAUCCUUUAUUGUUGUUGCUUGUUGCAAUUUAUUUUUAGGAAGAGAUUGUUUAAGAGAAUCUGCGAUAUCUUCUUGCAAUUUGAAAAUAUUCAAAUUUUUUGAUACAGUGACCCAUAUCACUUUAUCAAACUUCUCACUUUCCUUUAACAAUUGAUUAUUGAUAUGCUUCAUGAUGGUAGUUUUCCCUAUACCACCCAUUCCACAUAUUCCAAUCAUUCCAACCUUAUCACCCAUCAAAUACUUCCAAAUUUGCUCUAUUACAUCAAUUUCACCUUUUAUAUUUGGUGUUGGUAAUGUCACCCCAGCGGUUGGAGGCCCAUCAACUGCCACACCGUUAGGGAAACUACCUUGUUGGUGAAUUUCCUUUACCUCUUCAAUCUUUCGACAAACAAAUUUUCCAAAAUGACCACGUAAGAAGUAUGAAACAACACGGAACUUGGUUUCAAUCUUUUCCAUUUCAGUGUUUACCUUUUCUACAUCUUUAAACCAAUUCUCCACUUCUUUCUUCACCACUUUUCCAUGACGAAGCUCCGCUUCCUUUUUUAAUACGAGGUCUUCCUUUUGAUCAUUUAGAUCAUUCACUUUUCUUCGAAGAUCAUUCAUAUGUUCUUCAAGUUUCGGGUGAUGAUCUAUGUAUGUACAGAUUGGACCACCAAAGCACUUUAUUGCUUCAAAAAUUGGCCCUAUAAGCUCCAUAUAAGCUAUUCCCUGUAGUUUAAUAAACCAAGAUAUAUUAUAUCUCCAUAUGACAUAAGCUACUCCCUCUUUAUACUAAAAUUCUAUAUUUUCCAUAUAAUAUAGAAUAUGUUAGAAAAAAAUGUUACUAAAUAAAAGAUUUUUACCAAUUCUUCUUAAGAAAAAACAUAAUAUUUUUGAAAACAAUAUAAGAAAAAAGAUGUUUUUGUUUCCAUCAUGUUUGAGUAUAAUAUUUACAUUUCCAACACUGUUUAUAUCUAAAUGAAUGUAUUCAUUUUGCCCCUUAAAGAACCAUCGCAAAUUCUUGAAUAUAUCAUAUCUAUAUGGUUCCUAGUUUUGAUCAUUACAACAAUAAUAAAAGGAUGGUGAGAAUGGAGAAGUCAAUCUACUAUAAAUAUAUAAAUAACAAAAUUUUGAUAAAAGAAGGAAACGAUUUAAAAUUGAUAACUUCCUCUUCUAACACAUACACAUAUUAAAUAAAUGUUAUAUAUUUAUUAAUCAAUGCAAAAUUUUAAUUUUCAUAUUGAAAGACUAAAUUUACUAAAUUUGAUUAUCCAUUUUACACAUUUAAUAAAAAUUUAAGUUAGAAUAUGUAAGAAUAUCUAAUUGUUAGCGUUAAUAACUGUAGAAAUUACCAUUUAAUGUUGAAAAUGGAUAUUUUGACAAAAAAAAAUACAGGUAUAAUGCUAAAAAAACCCUUGAAUUAUUUACGAAAAUUUAAAAAAAAUUAUUCUUUUAUUAUGUUCAACCAUGCCCUUAUGCUUUUAUUUAAUUUAUAUUAAAUAAGCCUUUAUAACUAAUAGUUGAUUAAUUGUUAUUAAUCAAAAUAUCUCUCGUCAUUUUAUACUCACGUGGUGUUGAUGUGGCGUUGAUGUGUGGAGUAAAGAAUGAGAUAUGAUUAUGUCAUCAUACCACAUCAACAAGCUUUAAAAUAUCUUAAACAAUAAUUACAAGAAUAAACUGAGAAUGCAGAAUGACAUUAAAAAUACAUAAUUUCUUCUACAAAUUAUUUGGAAAGACGAAGAGCAGAGGUUAAGUUGACCAGUCAAUAAUUAAUUCCUUGGCUCCUUGUUAGGUACUACUCCUAUCUUGAGAGGACGUUGGUUAAAUAUGGGGAGAAAGGGACUGUCAAAAAAAAAUUAUCGGGAGAAAGGGAAGAUUAAUAUAUAAUUAUUCAUAAACAGUUGUUUUUAUACUAGAGCUAGAAUAUUUCCUUAUAUUGGAGGUUUAUUAUAAAAUAAAUCAGGGCUAGUACAACUAAUCUAUUUAAACUUAACGGCCAUUUUUUCUUUUGAUGGGAAAAAUAAAAACAAAGAGAAUUUCACAAACAUCUCAUAUAAGAUUAAUAAAUGUCAUAUAUUUGUAUUAAAUAAAUGUCAGGUAUCAAUGUAAAGUUUUAAUUUUGAUAUUCAAAGACUAAAUUUAGUACAUUUGAUUAUUUUCAUAUAUUCAGUUUACACAUUUAAUACAAAUUUAAAUUAGAUAAUUAGGUAAGAAUUUCUAAUUGUUAGCCUAAAUGAAUAUUGAAAUGACCACUUAAUGUUAAAAAUGGAUAUUUUCAUGCAAAAGCAUAUAUUUGAUAGCAUAACUCAAACAAAAGAAAAACUUUAUACUAUUAAAAUUUGCACUGAUUCCAUUUCGUUCUUUUCUAAUUGUUUCAUAAUGCUUGUAUUGUCUAUUAUUUCUAUUAAUUUUUUUUAACAAUUACUCCUAAUUUGAAUUUUCAGUACUUAUUACUAAUAUAAUAGUUAGUCAACAAUUUACAGUCAAAAUUUACCUUAUAUAAUUACUUAUUGCUUUACCUUACAAAUAUGAGAUGUUGGUACAUUUUUGUUAGAGACUAUAGUUGCUUAGGUUAUUUUAAUCCUUUUUUUCCCAUAUAUUUUGUCUACUAAUAUUUAGUUUUAUGGUUCCCUAGUCUCAAUUCCAUCAUCAAAAGUUUGAUUUCUUCUUUUUGUAUGCCUCUUUGAAUUAUUCAAUUCGAUCUUUAUAUAUAUUUUGACCUCUUUGAUUUAUUAUUAUUUGGUAAUUAUGUAUUUCGAAGUCCUUGCUGAAUUAUUCAAUUUCUUUAUUUUUUUAGUAAAUUGUUUUACUAUGCUCAUAUUUGUAAAUUUUCAUCAAAAUCAAUUACUCUUCCAACUAUCAAGAUCUUUAAGACAUUAUUGAUCAACAUGCAUAAUUCCAAUUUUUUUUUUUGGCAAUUUUUUAAUGUUCUUAUUUAGAUUCUAAAUUAAAAGAAUUAUUGUAAAUAACAUCAUCACCCUUGUACUGAACUGACUAAAUAUAGUUUUGAAUAAUAAUAAACAUCAUCUAGGCCAAAAAUAAUAAUAAAAUAUUAAACAUCAAUGACCAAAGAAAUAUUAAGCAUUUUGAAUAUUCGUAAAGAUUUUCAAUUGAGUCUCCUUGAUGAAUUAUUCAAUUUCUUUAUUUUUUAAGUAAAUUGUUUUACUUUAUUCGUAUUUGUAAAUUUUCAUUAAAAUCAUUUAUUCUUCUAAUUAUCAAGAUCUUUACGACGUUGUUCAUUGCAUGGGAAAAUUUUCAUUAAAAUCAUAUAUUUUAUGUUGUUAUCAAUAUUCCUAACUAAAAAGUAUAUAUUGUAAAUAAAAUCCUCAACCUCGCAUUGCACGGGCUAAAUCUAGUUUUCAAUAACAUCACCUAAAAUAAUAAUAAUAAUAAUAAACAUCAAACAACCAAGCAAAUAUUAAUCAUUUUGAAUAGUGUAAUCUAUCCAUACGUAAGGAAUAGUAUAUCUUUUCGAUAAUUAGAACAAGAAAGCUUGUGAAAACAACAAUAUAUCUCAAAAAAGACAUUUGAAAAAUACUUGCCAGAAUAAACAGAGAAUGACAUACAAAACACCUGGUUUCUUCUUCAAAUUAUUUGGAAAGAUGAAGCCCAAAGGUCAAUUAAAAUGAUCCACAAACCUCCCUGACUCUUUGUUCAGCACAAACUUCUUAGGCAGAAGAAACAAAUUGACAUAAAAUUAACAAGGAAAAUUAUUUUAAUAAAAAUGAAAAUUUUAUGUGCUAAAAUUUUCAGAAUCAUUCAUUUUCAGUUUUCACUAACUAUAAUUAAUUUUCACCUAAUUAAGUGAAAAAAAGCAUGACACAGACCAAUAAACAAAAUAAUUAUGUGGAAGGAAAGAUGAUGAAUCUGUGUUAUAAAUCUAAAAUAUGAACCCAUAUCUAUACUAAACAGUUUAAUUUACCUAGUCAAAUGAGGCAGAUGAGCUGAUACUUCUAUCCUCAAGGAUUCUUGCUUAAGUUUGCAAAAGUAGAUCUCCUUGCAAAAAAUUGUCAAGAAAAUAGCAACAAGCAGAUCUCCUUCCGAAAAUAUCCUCUAUGAAGGAAAAUGAAUAAUGAAGCACAUGAGUUAUUGAAAAGUGGGAAAGAUUAAUAUUUAUGUAAGAAACUGAAAUAAAUGCCCAACUUGUGUCUUAAUAUUGACAUGGAACUUAUAAUAAGAUGAAUUUAUGUUAUAAUUUAAGAUUCUGAUUAAUUAAUGUUAUCAAAGAUAAAACUAAAUCAUAAGUACACACAACUUAAUUCAGUAAGGCAGUGAAGUGAUAUUUCUAUCCUGAAAAGACCCUCAAUUAAUUGGAGAAACAAGUGCAGUCAAGAAAAAUAGCAGCAACAAAUAGAUUAUCUCCUUGCAAAAAAGAAAUCCCCAAUCCUAUGAGAGAAGAGAAUCAAUGGAUUAUGAAGAAAAAAAAUUAAAGUCGGCAGCACCCAAUCAAUUGACUCUUUGGUUGAUGCAUGAUUCUUUUUUAUCUAAAGAGUAGGCUUUAAAUCCCUCUUUCCCCAAUUAAAAAGAAAGAAUAAAAAUCAGAAAAUAUAAAGAAAAUGAAUUAUGAAAAACAUGAACUAUUGAAAAGUGGGCAAGAUGAAUAUUUGUACGGAUCUUAUGUUAAGAUGGGUUUGUGUUAUAAGGUAAGUUUCUGAUUAAUUAAUGUUACCAAAGAUGAAAGCAAAUAAUAAGCAUAGACAGUUUACCUGGGUCAGUGAGGCAGUGAAUUAAUUGAUACUUCUAUCCUCAAAAGGUCUUUAUUAAUUUUCGGAAACAAGCAUGUGGAAGAAAAAUAAACAGCAACAAGCAGAUGAUCUCCUUGCCAAAUUAAAAGAAAAUCCUAAACUUAAUCUUCCGUGAGAGGAAAAUUAAUGAAUUAUGAAGCAAAUAAGAGUUAAAAGUCAAUCCAAAGUCGUCGCACUAGUUGUGAAGUCACUUUCCUCGGAGCUGUUUCACAAUAAUGCAAAUGUGAAUAGAAGAAAAACUGGCAAAGUAGGACAGAAUUAUGGGGCCACUUAUCCUACUCUCCUUCAUUAUUUGAAAAGAUAAAUUGUUGAAGAAUAGCCCUCAAUUGGGGUAUUUCCAUUCCAUCAUCCGCUGUUUAAAUCAGAAAAAAAGAAGCAGCAAAGCAAAGCCAAGGUAAGAUGAUAGCAGCUAGGAAAAUCUCUUGUCCAAAUAUUAAUAUAUAUCUUUCGUGCCAAGAGAUAAUAAAUUAUGAGAAAAAAUAAUUAAUAGUCGUUGGGAAAGGUGAGUCAAUGCAGCAAGUCAUCGUUAAAAUUAAAUUAUGGGAAAAAAAAUAAUAGUAGGUGAGACAAUGCUGUAAGUCAUUGCUAACAUUGCUAACGUUUGCACCAAACUUUAAAUUAUGGGGAAAAAAUUAAUUAAUAGUCAAUGAGUCAAUGCUGCAAGUCGUUGCUAACAUUCCGAACGUUUGAACCAAACUUUAAAUUAUGGGGAAAAAAAUAAUUAAUAGUCAAUGAGUCAAUGCUAAAAUAUUGCUAACAUUUGUACAAAACUUUAAAUUAUGAGAAAAAAAUAAUUAAUAGAUAGUGAGUCAAUGCUAACAAUAUUGCUAACAUAUGUACAAAUCUUAUAUAAAUCUUAAUAAUUAUUAUAUGAAUCUUCUAUAAAGCCGAUUGACUUGAGAAAAGAUAAACAGGGAAAGUAAGGUUAUCCUCGAAUUUUUUCUUUUUAUUAACAUAUGACAAGUUCCCAGGCAAAAGCGAAAAUUCAAAUUAUUUCUAUAAUGAAGGGCUAAUUAACACCUUAUUAAUUGUUAAUUAAGUCUCCUUAAAACUACUCAUUCAGAUAAAUCAUAAUGUUUUUCCUUUUGAUAUAUAUAAAAAAGCUGUUCUAACUAUAUGAAUUUGUUCGAUCAUUGAUUUUCUCAAUCAAUCAGUUAGAGUUGAGCAGCAGAUAAUGUUUUAAGAAGUUGACGUGAAUAAAAUAUUGUGAGACAAUGAGCAGAGGGAAUGAGUAAACAAAUAUAUUACUCGACUCUAUAACAAAGAGUAGGAACUUCAAAUGUCAAUCUAUGAUUUAAUUAUCGGAUUAAUAUGUGCUACUAACACAAUCAAUGGUCCUGAAUAUCAAGAGUUGUUUGUUAUUAACACUACUCUGAAUUAGUAUUUGUAAUGUUUUUCCUUUAUUCUUAAUCAAUUCUAGAUAUGGAAAUUUGUUUGACCGUUGGCUUUCUGAAUCUAUCAGGAAUUGAAUAGACAAGGUGUUGUUAUAGGAAAGUUCAUGCAAUUGAAUACAUAAAGUGUGAAGUAAUGAGCAGCCAUUUUUAAUUAUUGAUUAAGUUGCUGCAGUUCUGAAACUCGUGAUUAUGAUGAGAUGUAAAUUUGAUGAAGUUAUUAUAACCCAAGAUUAAUUUAAUCAGCUAUCAAUGUCAAAGAACUUCACUUUCCUAGCUCAUAAACCGUGAACAGCCAUUUUUAAAUCUUGCUUGCAGUGUGUACAGAUCAUAUAUCUCAGAUGAUAGAGUUCGGCAGGAAAUCAAUCGAAUGAUUGGGCUAAAGCCAAGAUCUUCCAUGCUGAUAAGAAUAAAUGUAUCUGAUUGAGAGAAACUGAAUAUGCCUACUCCAUAAAAACAAUGAAUCAAAAUAUUAUUAUGCCUGUAAAUAUUUUUAUGGUACAUUAAAGGCAAAGAACUUGACAUGGGACAGGCAACAAGAUCGUCGAUAACAUCAUCAAUGAUUACAUUCGAGCCUUCUAUUAAGUUUAUGUAACAAAUACAAAUAAGUAAUGGCUUAUCAUGCAUUCUUAUUUUUGUUAUGAUAUGAGCAUUAAACGACUCUUCCUCAAUGAAACAUCUGAAAGAGUGUAGGAUAAAAGAAAUCAAAACAAUUUACAACUGAUGAAGUUUCAGUCCAGUCAUCUUGUUAAUGUCUCUGUGAGACAAAUAUACCGCAAGUAGGCACUUGCAGGGUGCUAUGCUCAAAUUGGGACUAAACUACCGGUAUCAAAGCCUAAGGUACAAAACAUACUGCUCAAUAGCAUAUAAUAAUAAUGACUUGGAGAUGAAAGAGUUAAGUAUACAGUUAAUCAAUUAUCGAGCAUCUAGUACUGACAGGGUCAUUUCAUUUGUCGAAGAAGAUACAUGAUUGUCUGAUGAAGAACCUUCUUCAUGAAGUGGUCUUUUCAGCAAUAGAAAACUACGUUGUAUGGGUGUGGCAAUUUAGUUUCACUUCCCAACAUCAGAAUCACAGAUGACAUACUUGGCCUAUCCUCAGGAUGCUGUUGUACACUUAAAAGACUAAUAUGGAUGCAUUGUAUCACUUCUAAUAGGUUGCAAGACUCUUCUAAGCAUUCUUCAACAAGUUCUGAAGGGUGCCUUAUUUCCAUAAUCUCCAUGCCUGCAACAAAUUGAAACCCUUUUAGGUUUUAUCAGACCAAGAUAAGCAACUAAAAUUUGAUUAUAAUCCCUGCUUAAAGAGCAGGGUUCAAAUCCCCCUUCCCCCAAGUCCAAAAAAAAAAAAUCGGCUGAAACUGACAUGCUCAACAAGGUUGGCGCUCUGAGUUGGAUGGUAAAGGCCUCUAUCUUUCUUCCCACUUAAUAUCUCCAGCAGUAAUAUACCAGAGCUAAAGACAAUUGAUUUUGCUGAAAAUAGUCCAUCAAUAGCAUAUUCUGGUGCCAUAUAACCACUGCAGAACAUCAUUUAAAGCAAUAAAUAUAUGAGGAUUUUUAGACAUUAUGAAAUAAAGUGACACUUACUAAGUUCCAGCCACUCUUUUAGCAUUCCCUUCAGUUUGGUCUCCUCCAAAAGUUCUAGCCGAGCCAAAAUCUGAAAAUUUUGGAUUCAUCUCACUAUCAAGCAGGACGUUACUACCUUUAAGAUCUCUAAAUAAUCCUCAAUCCUGAAUCUUGAUGAAGAUAGAGUAGUCCCCUAGCAUUGUCACAGAUAAUUCCCAAACUCUUGGACCAAUUCAGUCCUUUACUUCUUGUUUGAUCUGGCAAUUGGUAGGUAUUCUCUUCAUGUCAGUCCAAUAUCAUUUUUGAUCUUUGGAAGCAGCAAACUGCACCAUGUGUAAAAUGUAUGAAAUAUUUAUAAUAAGAGAAACAAUAAACCAAACCAAAUUGACAGGUUUUCAAUGAUUCAGACCACAAAUGAAUGAGUGAAGGCUUCUGUUAAGCAUGUACUCAUAAACCAGCAGUCUUUACUUUCUGUGAAUGCACCACCCAAGAAGCCUUACAAGAUUCUGAUGUUGAAGUUUGGCAAUCAAUUUUACUUCAUUUUUAAACUCUUUCAAUCUUGUCCAGAACUUUUUGAAAGCCUCUUCACAGCAAUUUCUUGUCCGUUUGCUAGUGUCCCCUGGAAAACUACACUUUAGAUUGAGCUUCAAUAAUAAAGAUAAAUUCUCUGUACUUAAGGUAACUUCAAUUAUAUGAUGCAACUUUUACCUUAUAAACAGUUCCAAAACCACCUUCCCUUACCUUGAUGUCCACAGAAAAGCUAUCAGCAGCACGAGCUAUGGUAUGAGGCUCAAAUAUUGGAAGCUCCAUGUCUUCAUCUUGGCCUUGAUUUUCUUGAUCAUUUUCCUUAUUGUCUUUUGUUUCUCUGAAACAGUAGCCAAAAUAGGCUUGGCAAUCACCAUAAAAUAUGAUAGAUUCUUAUGCAUUUUGAUUGAGCUAGAUAAUUGGACAAAAAGCUGAUGUGGUUUUUGAGAUCACACAAGACCAUGCAUCUCCAGUCAUUUGCUUCAUUAAAAACUCUAUUUUCACACUGAUAAGCAUUGAAGAAACUGCAUGUUGAUUUGCUAGCAUCACUAUUAACAAAGUAAUUUUUAACAAAGGAACAAAAUGAGCAUUUUUGUGAAGGAUAUAUCAAAGUUACCUUUCAACUUUCUGGGGCUUCUGUAAAUGUAAUAACUGACAAUAAACAGCCCCGAAAGCACAGGACAGUAGUGUUCUAAUCACUGCAGCAAGCUCCAUCCUAAGCUUAUCUUUCAAUUCUGUAUGACGGAAUUUGAUAAAGAAAAGCAUAUAUGAACAAAAAAAAGUAAUGAAAACAAGAGAAAAUGUACACUCAUACCUGAUUUUGAAGCAGACAUUCUAACAUAUAGAUCCUGCCCUACUGAUUGAAACUGUUUGUAAUCAAUCAAAUUAUCAAACCAAAAGGCGCAACCACAACCUCUUCCUCCAUUAUCUGAACUAGUGUAUGCUUGGCUUUCUGCAUUCCAUGUGAAGUCUUGUAUCAUCAGUUUGGUUGAGAACAAGUCCUGUGAUCAAUGAUUUCUAUUUGAGACAUUUUGUAUGGUUGAAAUAUCAAAUAGAAAUACCAGGCUGAUAGAUCAUGCAUUCUUUUAUAGGAUGAUGUGAUUGACUGACUCUUCAUCAAUGAACUAUACACAAAGUGCAGUAGAAAACAAGUAACAAACAUUUAGAUUUAUGAUAACUUGUCAAUAUGGGGGGCUAAACUUCUUUGAUAAAAAUUCGAAGUUUAUUUCAUGAUGUCCUGAGCUUAGCUAGGCAUCUUUCUAAACGCUCAAAAAGCGUUUUAUAGCUAAUGGACAGAUUAGUGAUCUGAAGAGGUAGUAAUCUUGUUUUUAAUCUUUAGCCAGGGCCUUUUGGCUAGCUGCUCACUCACUUUCAAAGAAGUGCUUCUAAACAUUUAUGAGAAAUAGGGGAUGCUCUGUUUGUAAUUGCAGGGUAAAGACAAAUUUUUAAUUAGUGGUUUGUCAUGACCAGUAAUAUCUCUCCAAUACCUAUGUUGAGAAGAGAGAAAAAUAAAAUGGCUAAGAGCAAUGUUAUACAUGAAAUGGGUUUACAUAGACAUUGAGUUUCAAAGGAGCCGUAGCUGGUACUGUUAUAAAGUUUGGACUGAGAAGGAGAAAGUUUUAUGCAUCAUUUUGUGGAUGAAUGAGGUAAGAAGAUUUAGUACAUAAAAAGGUAUUCGAUUGGGGAUUUUACCGCCAUACAUAAAAUUAAAAACCUUAUUUUCUUUUUUAUAAAAAGAAGAGCAAUUAUAUACCAAAUGAGAAAGAGAUAAAUGAAUAAAAAUAAAAACAGAAUGUUUGCAAUUUUAACAAGAAGCAAGAGGGCACUGUACCAUUGAGGGCCGUGGAGCCACAUUUAAUCGAAUAGCUCUUCUCCAUCUCAUUCUAAUUAUAUGUAACAAAGGGAGAAAGGACAUCCUUAGCAUCAGGCUGAUUCCAUUUCUUCUCCUUUGUGAUUUUCUUCCGAUGCUAUUAUUUCCUCCAUUUCUUCACAACUGCUAACACUAAUUUCCUCUAAGUUUUGGAGGCUCUUCAACAGCUCAACUGGAAACAACUUCUUAAUCUUCGAACAUCUACACAUAUCUAAUAUUUUAAGAGAAGAGAAGAUGGUAGGUGGUGUUGGAGCAUCAGAGUAAUUCUUUAGCAAAUGAGAAAGAGAUGAAAAUAAACUCACAAUUAAUGUUUGCAGUUCUUAAUAAGAAGCAAGAGCCUUACAGCCACAAUUAAUCAAACACCAAUUCUCCAUCUCAUUCUACCAAUAUUGAACAAAGGGAGAAAGGACCUCCUUAGCAUCAGGCUGAUCCCAUUCCACUGAUUCCCACCAUUCUCUCGGGCUUACUGUCAUUUUUGGUAGAGAAGGAGGAGGAGAUGGUUUCCCAUUUUCAACAAGGGGAAGAGACAAAGGGAUCCUCUUAACUUCUGGACAUUCAACUAUAUGAAGAAAUUGGAGAGAAUCUGCAGGAAUCAUAAGUCCACCGCUGCAAAUGCUUUUCAAUUUUGGUAAUUCUUCCAAGACUAAUGAUUUUAAUUUGGGAAGAAUAAAUGUUGUUCCUUCUCCUUUGUGAUUUUCUUCUGAUGCUAUUAUUUCCUCCAUUUCAUCACAAUAUCUAACAUCAAUAUUCUCUAAGUUUGGGAGGCCUUGCAACUGCUCAACUGGAAACAACUUCUUCACCCUCGAACAAAAACUGAUAUCUAAUUUUUUAAGAGAAGAGAAGAUGGCAGGUGGUGUUGGAGAAUGAGAGGUAGAUUCAAUUUCAACUGCUACUCCUACUCUCACAACUUCACGCAAGUUUUUCAACAAAAAUAGGCGUAACUCCUCAAUGUUGUCAAGUGCGUCACAAGACGAUAAUGACAAGUCAACCACACACUCCAUCCCUUUACACUGCCAAAUUCGAC